UAGUUGGGGUGUUUGGCUUCGUUGAUGCUCUUGUAGUUGUAGCUGGGGUGUUUGGCUUCACUGGUGGUCUUAUAGGUCUUGUAAAUGUAACUGGGAUGUUUGGCCUCAUCGUUGGUCUUGUAGAUGUAACUGGGUUGUUUGGCCUUAUCGGUGAUCUUAUAGAUGUAACUGGGUUGUUUGUCCUCAUCAGUGGUCUUGUAGAUGUAACUAGGCUGUUUGGCCUCAUAUGAGGUCUUGUAGAUGUAAAUGGGUUGUUUGGACUGAUCGACGGUUUUGUAGAUGUAAUUGGGUUGUUUGGCGUCAUCGACGGUCUUGUAGAUGUAAUUAGGCUGUUUGGCUUCAUCGGUAGUCUUAUAGUAGUAAUUUGACUGUUUGGCUUCACCGACGGUCUUGUAGAUGUAACUGGGUUGUUUGGCCUCAUCGACAGUCUUAUGGUUGUAAUUGGACUGUUUGGUUUCAUCGACAGUCUUGUAGUUGUAAUUGAGUUGUUUGGUUUCAUCGGUGGUCUUGUAGAUGUAAUUGGGUUGUUUGGUCUUAUCAGUGGUCUUAUAGAUGUAACUGGGUUGUUUGACCUCAUCAGCAGUCUUGUAUAUGUAACUGGGUUGUUUAGCCUCAUCGAUGGUGUUGUAGGUGUAACUUGGUUGUUCUGUCUCGUUGGCGGUCUUGUAGAUGUAAUUGGGUUGUUUGGCCUCAUCGGCGGUCUUGUAGAUGUAACUGGGUUGUUUGGCCUCAUCAGCGGUCUUGUAGAUGUAACUGGGUUGUUUGGGCUCAUCGAUGGUCUUGUAGGUGUAACUUGGUUGUUCUAUCUCGUUAGCGGUCUUGUAGAUGUAACUGGGUUGUUUGGCCUCAUCGGNNNNNNNNNNNNNNNNNNNNNNNNNNNNNNNNNNNNNNNNNNNNNNNNNNNNNNNNNNNNNNNNNNNNNNNNNNNNNNNNNNNNNNNNNNNNNNNNNNNNNNNNNNNNNNNNNNNNNNNNNNNNNNNNNNNNNNNNNNNNNNNNNNNNNNNNNNNNNNNNNNNNNNNNNNNNNNNNNNNNNNNNNNNNNNNNNNNNNNNNNNNNNNNNNNNNNNNNNNNNNNNNNNNNNNNNNNNNNNNNNNNNNNNNNNNNNNNNNNNNNNNNNNNNNNNNNNNNNNNNNNNNNNNNNNNNNNNNNNNNNNNNNNNNNNNNNNNNNNNNNNNNNNNNNNNNNNNNNNNNNNNNNNNNNNNNNNNNNNNNNNNNNNNNNNNNNNNNNNNNNNNNNNNNNNNNNNNNNNNNNNNNNNNNNNNNNNNNNNNNNNNNNNNNNNNNNNNNNNNNNNNNNNNNNNNNNNNNNNNNNNNNNNNNNNNNNNNNNNNNNNNNNNNNNNNNNNNNNNNNNNNNNNNNNNNNNNNNNNNNNNNNNNNNNNNNNNNNNNNNNNNNNNNNNNNNNNNNNNNNNNNNNNNNNNNNNNNNNNNNNNNNNNNNNNNNNNNNNNNNNNNNNNNNNNNNNNNNNNNNNNNNNNNNNNNNNNNNNNNNNNNNNNNNNNNNNNNNNNNNNNNNNNNNNNNNNNNNNNNNNNNNNNNNNNNNNNNNNNNNNNNNNNNNNNNNNNNNNNNNNNNNNNNNNNNNNNNNNNNNNNNNNNNNNNNNNNNNNNNNNNNNNNNNNNNNNNNNNNNNNNNNNNNNNNNNNNNNNNNNNNNNNNNNNNNNNNNNNNNNNNNNNNNNNNNNNNNNNNNNNNNNNNNNNNNNNNNNNNNNNNNNNNNNNNNNNNNNNNNNNNNNNNNNNNNNNNNNNNNNNNNNNNNNNNNNNNNNNNNNNNNNNNNNNNNNNNNNNNNNNNNNNNNNNNNNNNNNNNNNNNNNNNNNNNNNNNNNNNNNNNNNNNNNNNNNNNNNNNNNNNNNNNNNNNNNNNNNNNNNNNNNNNNNNNNNNNNNNNNNNNNNNNNNNNNNNNNNNNNNNNNNNNNNNNNNNNNNNNNNNNNNNNNNNNNNNNNNNNNNNNNNNNNNNNNNNNNNNNNNNNNNNNNNNNNNNNNNNNNNNNNNNNNNNNNNNNNNNNNNNNNNNNNNNNNNNNNNNNNNNNNNNNNNNNNNNNNNNNNNNNNNNNNNNNNNNNNNNNNNNNNNNNNNNNNNNNNNNNNNNNNNNNNNNNNNNNNNNNNNNNNNNNNNNNNNNNNNNNNNNNNNNNNNNNNNNNNNNNNNNNNNNNNNNNNNNNNNNNNNNNNNNNNUAUAUAUAUAUAUAUAUAUAUAUAUAUAUAUAUAUAUAUAUAUAUAUAUAUAUAUAUAUAUAUAUAUAUAUAUAUAUAUAUAUAUAUAUAUAUAAUUUAGGAUUAAAGGAUAUUAAUGUUUUAAAUUUAAUAAUAUAACAUAUUUGAUAAUUAUUUACAGCAUAUCUAUAUAUUAGAAUCUAUUAUUUAAUUAAAAAAUAUUAUUAUACAAAUUAUCUCUAUCAAAAUUUAAUAUUAAUAAAAAAUUAUUUAAUAUAUUAAAUAGAAGAAUCGAAAUUAACGAUUUUGUUAAAAUUUUAUAGAAUGAUAAUUUUUAUGCAUCUCCUUAACAUAUCAAAUAAUAUUUAUUAAUGAUAAAAUUUUAUAGAAAUAAUCUAUAUAAUAAUAGUUUUUAAUUUAAUGGUGAAUUUUAUUAUAUGUAUUUAAUAACUUCUCCAUUAAAAAAACAAAUAAUUGCUAUCUAAAACUAACACCCCAGAUCCUUUCCAAUCUCCUUACUCAUUAUUCUAGAAAUAAAUGCAAUUGGUAUUAAAAUCUAUCAACCACCUCUCUAUUCCCCUCCGUAUCCUCAUUAUUCUAGAAAUAAAUGCAAUUGGUAUUAAAAUCUAUCAACCACCUCUCUACCGACAUGUAGAAUGAUCAAUUUGUUUUAUCUUUAAAAAAAUAGAUUUUUUCUUUGUAUUUUUAAAAAUGAAUUCUACAAAAAUAUUUUAUAAAAUAUUACAAGUUUUUCUAAAUUUGUUUUUUAUAAAUUAAAAGUUUGAAUUAUUCAUUCUAUAACAUAAAUAUACAUUAUUGAAGAUCAAAACAUAGUCAAAAUCACAAUUUUUUCAAAAAAUUAUAUUUUAAAAAUGAUUUUUAUGAAAAGCUAUUUGAAAUAGCUUCAAAUUAAGUGAUUUUUUGAAAAUUUGAUAUCCAAAAAAAGUUUCGAUAAAAUGAUGAAAGACCUAAAAUAAUAUUUUAAGAAUAACUAUUCAAACCAAAUUUUCAUUUAAUGUUUUUAUAAAAAGUUUCUUUGUAAAAAUUUUUUACACUAAAAUAUGUAACACUAUAAAAAUCAUUUAAAAAAAAAGUCAAAACAAACGGGCCCAAUAUCUUUCUUCAAUAAUUGAUUCUUCGUGGUGAGUCUAUUAAAAAAAAUUCUAAAAUAAAAAUCUAAAUUUUAGAUGAAAUAUUUUAAUUUUGAGAGUUUUCAUCAAAUUUUUUUCAAAAUAACCAUUUUUAUAAAAAAUAAAUAAAAAAUAAUCAAUUAUUCAAAAAAAUUACCAAAAUAACCAAGUUUGAUAGAGGAUGCGCCAAAUGAAUUGGCGCAUUCUCAAUGCUUAAAGAGGAGGUGCCAAUAGCAUUGACGCAUGCAUUGGACUCUUCAUGAGGAGGCGUAAAUGCUAGUGGCGUCUACAUUGGGUCUCAUGAGGAGGCGCCAAUGCUAGUGGCGCCUAGGUUCAUUUGGUUGGUGUAUGCGCCAAUUCAUUUAGCACAUACACCCCCUACUAUUUUUUAGUUUUUUUAGUUUUUUUAAUUUUUUUAAUUUUUAAUAUUUAAUUUUUAUUAUUUAAUAAAUAAGAAAUAGUAAUGAAAAUAAAUAAAUUCAUUGAAUAUGUAAUAAUUAGUUACAUUGGACUGACAAUAUAUAAUGACCGACCUGAUUAUAACGUCCCCCGGUUCUACAUCCCGGUGCGUUAGUUUGUCUCUGAGGUCACCCACGAUUUUCUUGAGGUGUUUGUGGUCUUUGGGUGUUGACCUAAUCGAGCGAUGGCUGGUUGGAAGGUCCGGCGGAAGUUCCAGCGGUAUUUGACAGAUGUGUCAUCAUUUGCUCCAAAUAUCCGGAGGGGCUCUGGCCAACGACACUUCUGUAAUGGAGUUUGGUGCCCAUGUCAUCGUAGUUAGGGCGUUGGGGUUGGGUGAAUUGGGGACAGUAUAGUUGCCCAAAUUGGGUCAUUGAUUCGUUUUGGAAACAAAGCAAUGGUUCAUGGGGCGUACUAUAGUUAAACAAUGGUUGGAUGUUCAUUGAUGGGGGGCUACAAUAAAGUGAAUAUGAAUUAUCUGGGGCUGUAGACGGUUGUGGAUGCGGGGUUUGAUUCUUGGUUUUGAGUUUGGGUGGGUGGUAUGAACGGGGUGCGACAUUGGAUGGUUGGUUGUUGGGUGAUUGACAUGAACGGGUUGCGAUGUUGGGUGUUUGGUUGUUGUGUGUAUGUGGUCGAUUGAUGUUAUGUGGUUGGUUGUUGGGUUUGGGUGAGUUCACAUUGGUGUUGGGUGGUAAAUUGUUGUGGGGCAUACGAUGACGAAGCAAGUUGGCGUGGAUCCAUCAAAUACUGCGACUCAGAUACAAAUUGCUGAGUUAUUACCGACCUAAACCAUGCCAUAUAUUGUUGAGUGGAUCUUGCAUCAUGGGUGACUGGUUCGUUCAAGAUGUGUUAUCGUCAAUUCCUCCAUUGACGACACAUGUCUUUUGCAAAGUCUCUCCAGUCAAAAUAAUCCCACUGUGCAUCAACCCUUUUUUAUACCAAUUCCCCAAACACGUGGGAGAUUCUGGAAUCUGUUGUAGCAUUCCGAACUGCAGUUUAACCCGGUCACUCUGGUGCAUUUCCACCGUAGUGAAUCGAUAAUCGGUGUCUUCGCUGUCCAAACUGCAUCAUCGUAAUGGUUCACAUCAUGAUUCAGACCCAGAUAUGGCCUCCAAACAAACUGUAAAACAAUACGAAACGGUUAGAUGGAAAAUAAUUUGAGAAGUAUUUUUAAAUUAAAAUAUAGUUGGGUAGGAUUAUUACAUCGUCAUGUCCAAUGUGGUCCAAUAGAUUUCGAUAGACUACAAUAACGUGUUUCAGACACCUGUUGUAGUUCAUUCCCCUUACUGACCACCUAAGAUUAAAAAGAAGUGAAAAAUGUUAUUUACUGUUAAUUAUAAUAAUAAAUAUAAUUAACUAAACGGUGAAUGGUAAAGUGUUAGACUUACUUGGUUGCAAACAGGAACACGAAUGGACGCUCAUUUAUCGGGGCAAGCGACGAUAUUUUUUACCACCCCCAAGCUUGAAGCAAAUACGCACAUGAAAAAAAAGUACAAGUAUUCUUUUUUGCAUUUCUACACAUUGCACUAUAUAGAUAGACCAACACAACUGAACCCCAACUAUAAGUGUUUACCUUAUUAAUGUUGCGUAAUAAAGGUAAAUACAUUAUAUUCACAUAAUUACCUGUAAUUUCUGGAAACAAAAAGUUACCAAAUAAAAUCAUAAUAUAACACCGAGCUUUUAUUAUUUUCUCAUACUCGGUUGAAUCGUCAGACAAUACUAUACUGGCAUAAUAUUGUUUUAGGUAUUUUAAAUUUAUAACUUUCCCCCUUGCUUGACCGGAUGUGUCUCCCUCAAUUUCGUCGUCUAACAAAGGGGCAUCCAAUAAUUCAUUGCAAAUAUUGUUGUCUUGGUUAACUCGACCAUUUACUGCCUUUUCGUCUAUACAGAGAUCCAACAACAUGUACACAUCCUCAAGUUUGACGGUACACUCACCAAUCGGAAGGUGAAAUGUGUGGGUCUCGGGUCUCCACCUCUCCAACAAAGCCAGAAUGAACUUGUAGUCCACCGAGUACGAAACAAUGUUUAGUAGAUUUCCAAAUCCACAAGACGGUACACUCACCAAUCGGAAGGUGAAAUGUGUGGGUCUCGGGUCUCCACCUCUCCAACAAAGCCAGAAUGAACUUGUAGUCCACCGAGUACGAAACAAUGUUUAGUAGAUUUCCAAAUCCACAUUCUCUAAUAUAUGGUUCUAUUAAAGUGUAGCACCUCAAAUUUGCACCCCCCAUUCAUGCAUACAUUUCAUUUUUUUAGGUUAUUAACAUUACAUCUUGCAUUGCAUCAUUGCAUUCAGAAUUGGCAUCAAGAGAAUUCAUCUGUGCAAAGAGAGCAAGUUUUCCUUGAGUUGAAGGCCACAUGAGUAUUCUAGAGAGCUUAUAUGAAUCAAGGAUCAUUUUGAAGCAACUUUGCCAAGUGUUAGAGGCCCAAAGUCCACAGUGCAUGUCCAGGUCAUCUGGGGCCCAUAAAAGUCAACUGAAAGUCAACUGAGGGCUAGGAGGUGGAGAAUUGGUUUGAGACACUUCAUUCAUGUCCAAAAGAAGUUUAUUCAUCAUGUCAAACAUCUACAUUGAAGAUUUUGAAGCCAGAUCAAAAAUUUCCCAAAAUGGAAAGUGACCUGUAAUUUCAACGUUCCAAAAUGGCAAGUUUUUGACCACAUUCAACUUGACUUUCAACAUCAAAGAAGCUUCAAAUGAUUUUGUCCAACAUGAAAGUUGAGAUAUUUCUCUCCCAUUCCAAAAAGUAUAAGAUCAUGAGCAUCUGAUGAAUGGUGAGAAGUUAUGAGCAAAUGAUCACCAAGUGUGCAUGAAACUUCAAAUGCCAUAACUUUUGAUCCAAAAACUCCAAUUUAGGCCACUCUUUUGCAAAUUGCAUGUCAUGACCUAUAUUUUCCAAAUACAUCAUUGCAUUGUAUGAAAUUAUCUCAUAUAUCGAUUUGUUCAUGCAUGUCCAUUUUGGAGGGAAAAUACCAAAUUCAAAUUUGGUGCAUCAUAUGAACAAAAUUCCAAUUCCAACAUGUGCAUGAGAUGAUUUUAAGUGAUUUUGAGCAUGCCCAUGGUACUGUUCACGUUCAUUCACCAUGCAUAGGGUGCAUUUUACCAAUUUUACACUACACCUCAUUUUGCAUUAAAAUUUCAUUAGCCAAGCCUAAGUAUCAUUAGCAAAGUAAUUAGCAUGUUGUAUAAAGCCUUAAUCAUAACAGAAAUUUCAUUGGAACACAUUCUAGAUCUAGAUCACAUUUUUCCCUCCAAUUUUUCUCUCAAUCCAAAUUCAAAAAUUCUUCAUAUAACACAUGAUUUUUAUUGCAUAAUUUGGUUCCUGGAUCAUCAUAUAGUAGGAAUUGAGUGCUGGAGUGAAGAAUUUCAUCAAGAUUCAAGCACCUCAAGCUCAAGAACAUGAAGAUGGAAGUUGCAAUUUGAUCAAGAUCCAAGCCAUUUCAAGCAUCCAUUCGUGUUUAAAGCUUCAAUAUACAAGUGAAGGAGAAGAUUUGAACACUUGUUAGGCCUUGAAUCCACCGUUUCCAUUGACUGCUCUUCAAGAAGGUUUGAAAUCGAAUCUCUCAAUUCUCCAUUCUAUUGCCAUGAUUGUGUAGAGUUUUUCAUGCUGAUUACACUGAUAUAAAAUUCAUGAAAUCGAAUCUCUCAAUUCUCCAUUCUAUUGCCAUGAUUGUGUAGAGUUUUUCAUGCUGAUUACACUGAUAUAAAAUUCAUUGAAAAUGGUGGAAUAUUGAGUGAGAUAUGAAUGUUUAAAGUUUGAUGCAUGAUAAUGUUUUCGAUCGAUUCACACGAUCCAUGGACUUUUAGCUGAAAUAGAUGUUAGAUUUGUGUUCCUCUCAACGAGAGCUUUCCAACGGUAUAAGCCAUGCCAAAUUCUGCAAAAAAAAAUUGAUGCGCUACUGUAGCACAACCGUCUCCACGAAGGAGACGGUGGAAACCACCGCUGGUGAACAGUAGCCUUGCCGGUCUGGUUCGUUCACUAGGGUUUUGAAUAGUGCGCGCCUUUCACCACGCCGUCCUGGGUUCGAUUCCCAGCGAGCGUUCCUUUUAUUUUUCCAUUUAAUUCCCAGCCUUGGCGAAAACGGCAGUGUUUUGAUGAGGCGCUCUGAACCUCCCUUCGAUUCCUGGCCACAACGUUUCUGAUUUUUAUUUUGCUCAGCGCCUCAAUUUUUUCAUGUACACGGUUCGAUUCCCACUGACACCAUAUUUUCAAAUUCUAUCAACCUUUUCCAUUUCCCUCCAAUUAUCAUAUGUUUUGCUUCAUUUUAUUUCAAUAUUUUCAUUCAAUUUGCAAAAUUCAUAACAAAUUGAAAAUGACUCCAAAUUGAAUGAGAUUUUUUGCCACAUGUUCAUCUUGAUGUCUAGUAUCUUAUAAUGUCCAUUUCCUGAUUUUAUCAUUUCUGGAUUUUUUAUGAUGAGCUGUUAUUUGAUCAUGUAUGCAAAGGUGACAUGUUGGAUUCAAAUUGAUGUGAAAUGCUCAUACAUUGUCUAAUUGCUUUGAAAUUUGAUAUGCUGGUUCCUAAUAUGUUGCAUGAUUUAUGAGGCUUGGUUGUGCAUUUUUAGCAUUUUCCAUUUCUAUUUUGGACACAUGAAUGUUUGGUGUGACAAUGUGUGUCACACAAUUUGAUGUCAUACUUGUUCAUUUUCAUUUCUAGGUCAAUUGAGCUCUAUUGAUUCUAAUUUUUGGCAUGAUGAUUGUAAUUGACAUGUUGUGUGCACAUAAAAUUUUUCAUGAUUGUUUGAUUCAUUUAUGUUUUAAUAUGGAAUUUUGAUUCUUGAUGUCCAAUUGUGAGCUUUGUAAUUGCCUUUGCCUUAGCAUGAUCAAUAGAUGGAUUUGCCUUAGGAUUUGAGUUUGGUCCUUUUUAGGACAUGUUCGUACUUGAAUAAAUGUUCUUCAUGUUGAAUAUUGGCUGCUGUUUUGACUUUUUGCUUCGCCUUUGACCCUAGUCUUGGUACUAGUGGUUUGUACUCAUCUUUUGAGCUUUGUAUUUCAGGUUCAAGCUAUUAGCUCUAGUGGUUAAGUGGUUUGUACUCAUCUUUUGAGCUUUGUAUUUCAGGUUCAAGCUAUUAGCUCUAGUGGUUGAUGCAAUCUUAUGACUUGAGAUGCAAAUUUGCUUUGUCCACUAACCUUUGUUAUGUUGUAGGUCUCUUGGUGAUGAACUCACUUGAGUUGUUGACUUUCCUUGUGUGCAUAUUGGUUGUAACAUUGUUGAUUGACUGUUUAGUUUGUCUGGAUGUGAAUAUUGACUUGUUUGACUUUCUUACAGGUACAUUAGUCGCUUUAGCUCAUUGCUUGAGCUGUGCUUUGCUUGUGGUUGGCAUACCACCUAGGUAAUCAUCCUCUAACUCCAUGUAGUCUGGAAGCCCUGUCGUUUCUUUUGGUAGGCAUUUGGCUGAAGUCCUCCUUAAGAGGCAAUGACUGUGUUUGUUUACUCAUUGUGCCAUGUACUUCAAGUCCUCCUAAGUGAAGGGGAAAUUGGCAGAUAGAAGGGAUUAGCAAUCAAUCCCCUGCUAAUUGUUUGAGUCGUUCAUUAAGCUCGCACCACGUGCUGAGGGUCUUGAACCUAACCCAAGAUCCUUGUAUAUAGAGUCAGUCAAGUGGAGUAGGGUCCCACAUUCUGGAUCCCCACGUUUUCAUUGAUUGAAGCUCACCCAGGCCCGAGUUAAGAGCUAUGAGGUUCAAUCCUCAUUACCUUUCAUCUGCUCACCCUGACGGUCAAUGUCAGUGGUUAAGAGCCCUCAGAUACCCUUCUAGUUGGCUUGUUUGUCGAGGUUGAUAUGACCCCUUGACUAAAGCCCGGCUUGUUUGUCGAGGUUGAUAUGACCCCUCAACUAAAGCCUCACCCUUGAUGAUUGAGCCCCUUGUUGGUGUGUUUACUUCAUGUAUAUGUUUUUGUGUGUGGUGAUUGUAUCCCCAUAGGAUUUCUAGACUUCGCAUAGUCUCUCGUUUGCAUGUCAAUUAAGGUAGCACGGUUCCUUCGUCUAGGACUUCCUUUCUUGCGUGAGCUUUUCUAAAACACAAACCAACAUUACCUUCCCUUAAGGACACGUUAACUCCUUCUACUUCAGGUGAGUAAGUCUCCCAGGGUCGAGCAUCCGGUAGAUUGCGUAGUAAUGUCGUUCACCUAAAAAACACACAACAAAUAGAAACAGUUUAGCCGAACUACGGCAACUCUGAUUCUCAUGUCCAAAUGAGAUACGUAGGCACGAGAUGCGAUGUCUUGUCGAGUUUGACUGACGACUAACAUUUUCUUCUUUUCUCUCGCCCUCGUUGGGAUCGAGACCUUCCUUUUCUCUUGCCCUAGUUGCAAUCGAGACCCUUCUGCUUUGUGUGUGUGUUUGGAGUCUGAUGUAAGCCCAACGAUUGGCAUUCGGUUUCCCGUUUGUGUUUGUUUGUUUGGAGUCUGAUGUAAGCCCAGCGAUUGGCAUUCGAUUUCCCGUUUGCGUUUGUUUGUUCGGAGUCAGAUGUAAGACCAGCCAUUGGCAGUCUGUUUCCAGUUGUGUGUUUGCUCUGACAUCUCAGCGUCUUUGGUUUAGCAUUUUGUUUCGGCGUGUGUUAGCCGAACUACGAGUGCUCUGAUUCUUCCUCUGGUCAGAGAAGAUACGUAUGCAUAGGAUGCGAAGUCCUAGCGAGCACGUUUCCCGUUUCCCCGAACUACGUAGGCCCAGGAUGCGACAUCCUGCCGAGUCCGCUUCCUCCGUUUUCUUCCAUCUGUGUUUCAUUCCAGUUUUGUGCAGUUUUUGAGCAGUUAUUUAGCAACCUUUUUCUAUUCUUUCUGAGCGUGGAUCCCGUCGAGUACAGACGGACGGAGGGUUGCUAACCUUCCCUUACGUUAACGACUCUCCCCGAUUCCUUGCAAUCUCUGGUCGUAAGACCAUUCCUUUCCCUUUUCCAGGUUUACUUCGAGCGUUUCCUUUCCCUCCUUUGGGAUAAAUAACGCACGGUGGCGGCUCUGUGUCUUUUCCCGCUGGUUGUUUUUCGCGUAUGCGACAGCUGGCGACUCUGCUGGGGACUAAAGAGAAGUUGACCUCUUGCUGGUCCAUCUUCCCUAAGCGAGUCAAUCCUAGCGCUCUCUAGGAUAGUUUUGGUUGCUUUUGCUGCUUUAUUUAUUGCAUUUAUGAUUAUUAUGCUGUGAUUGUAUAUAUUUGCAUAUAUGUUUGCAUGCAUCAUUUUAUCAUUGUGCUGGCUGUGUAUCUGUCUCUCUGUUGGGUGGGGAUCACAAGAGGUAAAAGGCCCAAUACCCAGGCUAUGAGUGAACUUUAGAACACCUAAGAAUAGAGUGAUUCAUGGGAAGCGGGUGGUAUGGCGCCACUUAGCGGAACGUGAUAUCACGAGCAGUUCAGAUUCUGAUGGGGUAUUAUCGUUGCAUACAUCUGGUGUGCAUAUGAUGAUAUUCUUGAAAGGAUUGUUUAUCCUGCGUUUCUCUUGACCUUACCCUGGCCUAGAUGACAGUUCAGAUUCUGAUGGGGUAUUAUCGUUGCAUACAUCUGGUGUGCAUAUGAUGAUAUUCUUGAAAGGAUUGUUUAUCCUGCGUUUCUCUUGACCUUACCCUGGCCUAGAUGACACCCGUGAGUGGGGUGGGAUUGAAUCAUUACAGGUACUGUUGGUGACUUUGAUCUGUUGGUGACUUGAUCUGUUGGUGACCGGGUCCUGUUGGUGACUUCUAUUUGGUCCUGUUGGUGACUUGGUUCUGAAGUAUGGGUUCCAAAUGACCUUGAUCUGUGGUUUCUGAUGCCGAGUUCAUGCCGAAGUCCUGAUCCUGUGCCUUGUGAUACACAACCAACCAGUCAUGGUUUCAUCAUUUGCAUCAUAGCAUGUUUAUUUUCAAAAAAAAUAAUGCAAAAAAAAGAGAAAAAAGAGAAAAAAGAGAAAAAGCUAACUUGCACAUGCAUAUCAUUUCUCAGGUUCAUUCAGGAGUCUGUUCACGUCGAGAGAUGGCAGCCAUUCCAGAAUUGAAGAGGAAGAUUUGCACCUACAACUUUUACCGUGAGCCGUUGACAUCUUUGGCAGAAUUGAGUAAUCUUGUGACCAGUUGUAAUCAGAAGGUGUUUGAUGAUCAGUAUGGGGAUAUUCUGACCUUGUUGAAGAUGGUGGUUGACCCGGUACCUCUGCAGACUCUCUUACAGUUCUAUGAUCCAGAGCUCCGUUGCUUUACCUUUCAGGACUAUCAGUUGGCUCCUACUCUUGAAGAGUAUUCCAUCCUUAUGAAUGUCCGAAUCAAGUACCAAGUACCCUUCCUGGAUGUGCCAAAGGAGGUGGAUUUCAGGGUUGUCGCGGCUCUUUAUUUGAGUAUCAAAGAAGUGAGUGACAAUUGGAAACCAAGUGGUGAUGUUGUGGGUUUAUCUUUGAAGUACCUGGUGAGAAUGGCUAAAGAAGAAGCAAAGAAAGGAAAUUGGGAAGCUUUCAACGCUCAGUUGGCCAUCAUGAUUUAUGGAGUUGUUCUGGUCCCUAGCAUGCCUAAUUUUGUGGACCUUGCAGCAAUCACUAUUUUCAUUGGAGGAAACCCGGUGCCUACCUUGUUAGCUGACACUUACUAUGCUAUACACAGCAGGCAUGGUAAGGGUGGAGCUAUCAGGUGUUGUCUCCCAUUGCUACUCAAGUGGUUCUAAAGUUUGCUAUUGCUAUGCCUGCCUACAUUGAGUGGGUCAAGGAUAGAGUUGAGACCUUGUUGCUACCCUAUGAUAGGAUGGAACCAUUGCAAGAGCAACCACCUUUGAUACAUUCUGAGAAUGUGCUUGCUGAGUAUUACAAACGAGCCUUAAUGGAGAACCGCCAGUUGAAAGAGAAGGAACAAGAGAUACAGAUGGAGCUUUACAAAGCCAAAGCUGAUAAGUUGAAUUUGGCUCACAAACUCAAAGGAGUGCAAGGUGAAAGUGCUAGUAGAUUGAAGAACAAAAAGAGGUCCUAUGAUGAGAUAGAGACAAUGUUGAAAGAAGAACACCGUGAGCGUUUGAGGUUGCAAAAAGCGGAAGCCAAUUACCAAAGGAAGAUACGAGACUUGGAAAGGCAGCUUAAGGACAAAGAUGAUCAGUUGAAGAAAGAGAUAGACCUAAGGCAUGCAUCAGAGAACCAGCUCAGAGAAGAAUUUGUGGAACUCAAAGUGCAACUGAAGGAGAAGCUCACUCCUUUACCUGAGUGUUCAGAGUGUGACCGGUUGAUUGAUCAGUGCCAGUACCUGAAGACUCUCAUUCCUGGAGGACGACUUUCUUAGUUUGCCUUGUUGUUUAUUUUGAGAAUCACCUCCAGGAUUGUUGGAUGGGAUUCCUUAUUCUACUCUGAUGAUGUGAAUCUUUGCUUGAACCAUGUUUAUAUGAUCUUUAUUGCUCAUGGCUAUAGAUGAGAUUGUUGAUGUUUCCCUUGUGCUCAUCAUCCAGUGUAGGGUGCUUCUUUGAUGUUUAUGUUAUAGGUUGCCAUUUUUCAAAGAUGGACGAGACUCUCGAGUGCCUGAGAAAUGAACAUAGCAUACGCAUCAUACGCAUCAUACACAUAUCAUUCUUGCAUUACAGGUGUUCUUGAAGAGGUUUCUCAUUCUGGUUCCUGUUUUAGGCAGGAUUGCUGAUCAUCGUCCGCACCGCUACGCGACAAGACUGAAUCAACAGAGAAGCAUGGAUCAAGUUCAGGAGGAAUUGGCAGAGAUGAGGGCUAAAAUGGCCCAAUUCAUGAAUAUGAUGCAAGGGGUUGUACAAGGGCAAGAGGAGCUGCGAGCCUUGGCCCAGAGACAGGAAGCUGUGAUUCCACCUGUCAACCGUAAUUCGCCAGAGGGAGUCCCUGUUAAUGACAACGUUGCUGCUACCAUUCCCGUCAAUAACUAUGCUAUGGGUGAUGAACUGAGGGGUAUCGGAAUCAAUGGACAACCUAUCGCUCCAGAGACUGCUAAUAUUCAAGGGACCUGUGCUCCAGCUCGCCAUCCUGCUCCGUUGGUUGAUAGACAAAAGGAUAUGUUCACACUCCUCAGUGAUGAUGAUGAGGUGGGAAGGACUGAAGAGAGGGAUAGAAAAGUUGAUGCCCUUGCUGAGAAAAUCUGUGCCAUGGAGUGUCAGAACUCUUUGGGAUUUGAUGUAACCAAUAUGGGCUUGGUUGAUGGGCUGAGUAUCCCUUACAAAUUCAAGGCGCCAUCCUUUGACAAAUAUAAUGGCACUUCUUGUCCUCGCACCCAUGUGCAGGCUUAUUACAGAAAGAUCUCCGCGUACACUGAUGAUGAGAAGAUGUGGAUAUACUUUUUCCAAGACAACUUGUCUGGAGCGUCUUUGGACUGGUACAUGGACCUGAAGAGAGAAUCUGUUAGAAGCUGGAGGGAUUUGGGUGAAGCCUUCCUGAGACAGUAUAAGCACAAUAUGGAUAUGGCUCCGAGCAGAACUCAGCUGCAGAGCUUGUUCCAAAAGUCUGGUGAAAGCUUCAAAGAGUAUGCCCAGAGGUGGCGUGAAUUAGCUGCAAGAGUGCAACCUCCGAUGUUGGAGAGAGAGCUGACCGAUAUGUUCAUAGGGACCCUGCAGGGUGUGUUUAUGGACCGUAUGGGAAGUUGCCCGUUUCGUAGCUUUUCUGAUGUUGUUAUCUGCGGAGAAAGGACUAGGAGUCUUAUCAAAGCAGGGAAGAUUCAAGACCCGGGUUCUUCAUCUUCGAGUUCUAAGAAACCAUUUUCUGGGGCACCCAGAAAGAGAGAGGGUGAAACAAAUGCUGUCCACCAUCAGAGGAGUAUGAACAGAGGACAACAGUAUCGUCAGGUUGCUGCUGUGACUAUUCUAGCACCCCAACCUCAACAACCACAAAGAGGACAACCACAACAACAACAACAGCAACGCCCAUUUCAGCCAAGACAGAGAAUGUCGGAUCGUCGUUUUGAUCCGUUGCCGAUGACAUAUGCUGAAUUGCUUCCUGAAUUGCUCAGGUUAGGGUUUGUUGAACUUCGCACCAUGGCUCCGUUAACGAAGAUACCUGCUGGGUAUGAUGCCAAUGUCCGUUGCGACUUUCAUUCCGGUGCACCGGGGCAUCACAUUGAGAAUUGUCGGGCUUUCCAUCAUAAGGUCCAGGAUUUGAAUGAUGCCAAUGUCCGUUGCGACUUUCAUUCCGGUGCACCGGGGCAUCACAUUGAGAAUUGUCGGGCUUUCCAUCAUAAGGUCCAGGAUUUGAUUGAUGCCAAGACAAUCAACUUUGCUCCUGUUCCUAAUGUUGUGAAUAAUCCUAUGCCUCAGCAUGGCGGGCCUAGGGUGAACAAUGUGGAAGAUGGGGAAGCUGUGGAUUUGGUAGUCGAUGUUGAUGAUGUUCAGACUUCGCUGUUGGUGGUAAAAGAACGUCUGUUGAAAGGGGGAGUGUUCCCGGGCUGUGAUGAGACUUGUUCAGACUGUGAUGAUCAAGAGAAUGGUUGUGUGAAGCUGAAAAGAGGUAUCCAGGGUUUGAUGGAUGAGGGUUGCUUGCAGUUCGGGCGAGUGAUGAAAGAUCGUGGAGUGGUAUCAACUGUCACUAUUUACUUCAAACCGUCUGGGUCCUGGACGUGCUCCGAGAACUGUUAGUGCGCCGAUAACUAUUGGUACUCCGAUGACCAUAUCCGCACCAGUAACUGUUGGUACUCCUACCACCAUUGCUGCCUCUGGUGGAAGACCUGUUGAGAAUAGUAGAGCGGUUCUGUAGAAGUAUGACAACGCUUUCCGUAGCAACAGAAAGUCAGAGAGUCAGAUCAGACCGGUAAAUCAGACUCCAGUGACCAUUGGUGUGCCAGAUAGAACUCCCGUAACUGUUGGUCCGGCUGUGGACAAUGUGGGAGGACCUAGAGGGUUCACAAGGAGUGGUCGUCUGUUUGCACCACAGACUCUGAGGGAUAGCAAUGCUGAGGCUCUUGCUAAAGCAAAAGGGAAGCAAGUUGUGGUUGAGGAAGGACCAGUACAGAAGGAGGUGCCUGAGGGUUGUUUUGAGAAAGAUGUAGAGGAGUUCAUGAAAAUCAUCAAGAAAAGUGAUUAUAAGAUUGUGGAUCAACUGAACCAGACACCGUCGAAAAUCUCUAUUCUUUCUCUGUUGUUGUGUUCUGAGGCACACAUAGAGGAGUUCAUGAAAAUCAUCAAGAAAAGUGAUUAUAAGAUUGUGGAUCAACUGAACCAGACACCGUCGAAAAUCUCUAUUCUUUCUCUGUUGUUGUGUUCUGAGGCACACCGUAACGCCUUGCUUAAAAUGUUGAAUCUGGCUUACGUGCCUCAAGAGAUUUCGGUCAACCAGCUCGAGGGUGUUAUUGCAAAUGUAAGUACGAGACACGGUUUGGGGUUCACAGAUCUGGGUUUGACACCUGAGGGUCGCAAUCAUAACAAAGCUCUACAUAUCACUAUGGAGUGCAAAGGCGCAGUGUUGUCGCAUGUGUUGGUUGAUACUGGCUCUUCCUUGAAUGUGUUGCCCAAGAAGGCUCUGAUUAAGCUUGAUGUUGAAGGGGUUGUCCUCACCCCAAGUGAUCUUGUGGUUCGUGCUUUUGAUGGAUCCAAGCGAUCUGUUUUCGGCGAAGUCACGUUGCCCGUAAAGAUCGGCCCCGAAGUGUUUGAUAUUAUCUUCUAUGUGAUGGAUAUUCAACCGGCAUAUAGUUGUCUGUUGGAGCAUCCCUGGAUACAUGGGGCUGGAGCAGUUUCGUCAACUCUCCAUCAAAAGCUGAAGUAUGUGUGGAACGGUCAGGUUGUGACUGUGUGUGGCGAAGAGGACAUUCUUGUGAGGCUUCUAUCCUCUUUCAAGUAUGUGGAGAUGGAUGGUGAGAUUCAUGAAACUCUGUGCCAAGCUUUCGAGACCAUUGCUAUUGAGAAGGUGACUUUUGUUGAACACAAGACGCCAGGUGCCUCAAUUGCGUCAUACAAGCAAGCCUUGGAGGUCGUUAACUCUGGUAACGCAGAAGGCUGGGGCAAGAUGGUUGACCUGCCCGUCAAAGAAGACAAAUUCGGCAUUGGUUAUCAGCCUCUUCAGUCAGAGCAGGGUGUUCAGGUUCAGAAAGGGCCGUGUACCUUCACCAGCGCUGGGUUGAUGAAUCAUGGUGACGUCUUUGCAACCGGUAGUGAAGAUGGUGACAGUGAUUAUGAUAUGGACAACUGGGUGCGCCCGUGUGCUCCAGGGGAGAUGGUCAACAAUUGGACAGCCGAAGAAAUAGUCCAAGUUACUCUUCAGACAAAGUAAUUUUCUUUUGUUUUUCAUUCUGCACAAAAACUCUACGUUCUGCUCGGGGCAUAGUGGUUCAUUGUAGGGCCACAUCAUGUUUGAUUUCCAAUGAUUACCAUUAAUAAAGGAUGUUUUGCAAACAAAUUUAUGCUCACUGUCUUUCUGUUUAUUUUCACUUUCAAAACGAUAAAAAUGGCAAUGUUUUUUGUUUUUGUGACUUUCUUGAACUCUUUUCUAAGACAAAGCAUUAAACAUCAUUCGUGCAGAAUCGAUCUCGCGGACUCCAUUAAAAACAGUUCUGUUAUGGCUCAGUAUGAUUUCGAUAAUCCCAUUUACCAAGCCGAAGAGGAGAGUGAAGAAGACUGUGAACUCCCCAAAGAAUUGGUCAGAUUAUUGAAACAAGAGGAAAGGGUCAUCCAACCUCAUCAGGAAGAGUUGGAAAUCAUUAACCUUGGUACUGAGGACGCCAGGAAAGAGAUCAAGAUAGGGGCUGCUUUGAAGGAAACUGUCAAGAGAGGGCUGAUUGAAAUGAUGCGAGAAUAUGUGGAGAUAUUCGCAUGGUCGUAUCAAGAUAUGCCUGGGUUGGAUACAGAUAUUGUGGUGCACAGGCUACCUCUCAAAGAAGAUUGUCCCUCGGUAAAGCAGAAGCUUCGCAUAACUAGUCCUGACAUGGCUGUCAAGAUCAAAGAGGAGGUUCAGAAGCAGUUGGAUGCAGGUUUUCUGGCAGUUACCAAUUAUCCCCCGUGGGUGGCCAACAUCGUGCCCGUGCCGAAGAAGAAUGGUAAAGUCAGGAUGUGUGUCGAUUACCGAGAUUUAAACAGAGCCAGUCCGAAAGAUGACUUCCCAUUACCUCAUAUUGAUGUGUUGGUUGAUAACACUGCUCAAUCCUCUGUUUUCUCUUUCAUGGACGGAUUUUCUGGCUAUAAUCAGAUCAAGAUGGCGCCAGAAGACAUGGAAAAGACGACAUUCAUUACACCUUGGGGUACGUUCUGCUAUAAGGUGAUGCCAUUUGGGCUGAAGAACGCUGGUGCUACCUACCAGAGGGCUAUGACGACUCUCUUUCAUGACAUGAUGCACAAAGAAAUCGAAGUGUACGUGGAUGAUAUGAUUGCGAAGUCUCAGACAGAAGAGGAGCACUUGGUAAACCUACAGAAGUUGUUUGAAAGGCUGAGAAAAUUCAAACUGAGGCUGAAUCCAAACAAGUGCACGUUUGGAGUGAGAUCCGGAAAGCUGUUAGGUUUCAUUGUCAGUGAGAAAGGGAUUGAGGUUGAUCCAGCAAAAGUAAAAGCUAUUCAAGAAAUGCCUGAACCAAGAACUAAAAAGCAGGUUCGUGGGUUUUUAGGGAGAUUGAACUACAUCGCACGGUUCGUAUCUCACCUAACAGCCACGUGUGAACCGAUAUUCAAAUUGCUAAGAAAAGAUCAAGCAAUGAGGUGGAACAAUGAUUGUCAGAAAGCUUUUGAUAAAAUAAAAGAAUAUUUGCAGAAACCUCCAAUCCUUAUACCUCCAGUUCCUGGGAGGCCUCUGAUAAUGUACCUUUCAGUAACUGAGAAUUCGAUGGGGUGUGUAUUGGGACAGCAUGACGAGUCUGGUCGAAAAGAGCAUGCAAUAACUACCUUAGCAAAAAGUUACCUGACUGAUGAAACAAGAUUAUCCACUGCUCGAGAAAACUUUGUGCUUUGGCAUGGGCUGCUCGCCGACUGAGACAGUAUAUGUUGAACCAUACUACCUUGUUGAUUUCUAAGAUGGAUCCAGUGAAGUACAUCUUUGAAAAGCCGGCUCUCACCGGACGUGUGGCUCUUUGGCAAAUGAUUUUAACUGAGUAUGAUAUCCAGUACACGUCUCAAAAGGCCAUCAAAGGUAGUAUUAUGUCUGACUAUCUUGCCGAGCAACCAAUUGAUGAUUAUCAGUCGAUGAUGUUUGAAUUCCCUGAUGAAGACAUCAUGUAUCUAAAGAUGAAAGAUUGUGAAGAGCCUCUUGUCGAGGAAGGACCGGAUCCUGAUGACAAGUGGACACUGAUGUUUGAUGGGGCGAUAAAUAUGAAUGGAAAUGGUGUUGGGGCAGUACUCGUCAAUCCUAAAGGUGCACACUUACCUUUUUCUGCCAAAUUGACUUUUGAGGUAACCAACAACGAAGCUGAGUACGAGGCUUGUAUAAUGGGGAUUGAAGAAGCCAUCGAUCUAAGGAUCAAAACUCUGGAUAUCUAUGGAGAUUCCGCUCUAGUGAUUAACCAAGACAAUGGAGACUGGAAUACUCAUCAGCCGCAUUUGAUUCCUUAUCGAGAUUACACCAGAAGGAUCCUGACUUUCUUCAAAACAGUGAAGUUGUAUCAUGUUCCCCGAGAUGAAAACCAGAUGGCUGAUGCCUUGGCUACUUUGUCUUCUAUGAUCAAAUUCCAUUGGCAUAAUCAUGUGCCACACGUUGCUGUGAAUCGACUUGAGAGGCCUGCGUAUGUGUUUGCAGCCGAGUCUAUUGUUGAUGAGAAGCCGUGGUACUAUGAUAUUAAAAACUUCCUGAAAAGCCAGGAGUAUCCUAAAGGAGCGUCAAAGAAUGACAAGAAGACCCUGAGAAGGCUAGCUGGAAGCUUUUAUUUGAAUCAGGAUGAUGUGUUGUACAAGAGGAACUUUGACAUAUGCGUGGGUAGACACGACAGCAACAUUUAAUGCAAGAAGUAGCACGAGGGUUCUCGGUACCCAGGCUGGUGGUCAUGCAAUGGCCAAAACGGGGCGUUGAAGCCGGUUAUUACUGGAUAACCAGGAAAACCGACUAUUCAAUACGCUCGGAAUGUGCAUAAAAUCAGAUUAUGGCAAGAUAAGGGUGCAUCGUACCACCAAACCCUCUGAAAGUCAGAAUUCGCCUUGGCCAUGAUGUGGGGCAUCGAUAUGAUUGGGAAGAUUGAACCUACUGCUUCUAAUGGACAUCGCUUCAUCCUGGUCGCGAUUGAUUACUUCACCAAGUGGGUGGAAGCAGCUUCCUAUGCUAAUGUUACCAAGAAAGUGGUUGCCCGAUUCAUUAAGAAGGAGAUUAUCUGUCGUUACGGGGUUCCCGAGAGAAUCAUCACUGACAAUGGUUCGAACCUCAAUAACAGGAUGAUGAAAGAGCUUUGCAAAGACUUUAAGAUCGAACAUCACAAUUCUUCUCCUUGCAGACCAAAGAUGAAUGGUGUUGUAGAGGCGGCAAACAAGAACAUCAAGAAGAUUGUGCAGAAGAUGGUCGUGACAUACAAGGAUUGGCAUGAGAUGUUGCCUUUCGCUUUGCAUGGGUACCGUACCUCAGUACGUACGUCGACCGGGGCAACCCCUUACUCCCUUGUGUAUGGUAUGGAGGCAGUCCUACCUGUUGAAGUAGAAAUUCCUUCUCUAAGAGUCCUGUUGGAUGUCAAGCUAGACGAAGCUGAAUGGAUCCGGACAAGGUUCAACGAGUUGAGCCUUAUUGAGGAAAAGCGGUUAGCAGCUAUGUGCCAUGGGAAACUAUAUCAGAGAAGGAUGAAGAAGGCCUUUGAUCAGAAAGUGCGUCCUUGAAGCUAUCAGAAAGGUGAUUUGGUUUUGAAGAGGAUCCUUCCUCCCGGUACAGAUAACAGGGGCAAGUGGACUCCGAAUUACGAAGGUCCAUAUGUUGUUAAAAAGGUUUUCUCUGGGGGAGCCUUGAUGCUUACAACUAUGGAUGGUGAAGAUUUUCCGUCCCCUGUGAACUCAGAUGUAGUCAAAAAAUACUUCGCAUAAAUUGACCCGCUGGACGAAAAGAAUAAAAUAGUCCAGGCAAAAAAGAAGAUUUUCCGUCCCCUGUGAACUCAGAUGUAGUCAAAAAAUACUUCGCAUAAAUUGACCCGCUGGACGAAAAGAAUAAAAUAGUCCAGGCAAAAAAGGGCAUCCCGGCGAACCAAGGAAAAAAGAAAAAGGUUCGGGCAAAAGUUAGGGAUAAAGAAUGAAAAAUGUACACCCGGUAAAUCGAAAACCUGUAAAGGCGGCUUAGGCAAAAAUGGGUAUCCCGGUGGAUUGAAAACCUGAAAAGGCGAUCCAGGCAAAAGAGGGAUUAAAGUGAAGACUACAGUCUGAGUUAUCUGUACUUCAUUGCGCUUCAACGUCUACCAUCUCGAAGGAUAUGACCGGUCCAAUCAUUCUUCUCAGAAAGCAGGGAAUUUGGGGGAAAUUGAGGAUAUACGGGUCAUGACAGAAUUGGAAAAUAGUGGAUGCCGUGUUCACAUUGCCAAUAGGAUAGUUUAUUUCCUUUUUUGGCGCAAUUACCUCUUCCUAGGAAUUUCUUCCUGAUGUAUUUUGCCUUUAAAGGCCACUUUCAAUCAAUAAAAGUCGUUAUUUAGUCAAAUUGCUCUCUUGUUUUUAUUUUACUAUUUUGUUUGCAAAAACGUCUGAAUUUUUGAUAAACAUUGCAUAUAAAAAACAUGAAGGCUAGACAAUAACGUGCAGAAAGAUAAAACAUUUGAAAAUCAUUUUUAAUGUUGAGUACAUUUGGGUGUAUCUUGUCCAUACAAUCUCCUGGGGCAUAUGUCUUGCUGUUUUGCAGGUUGCUAUCUUUGAUUGCUGGCUAAAGCAGAUGAGCCACGUGUUGUUCAAAGGUGUUUCAACACUGUCCAGUAGUGUAAGAAGUUGGGUUGUCCAAAGCAAGUUUAGGGCGUGUAUCCCCAGCAGGGUUGAGAAUGUCUUUCCCCAGCAAGUCUGAGGAUUAUUAGUUCCCUAGAGAGCCUGAAGAUUGUUAUUUCCCCAGCGGAUGGGUCUGUGGGUAGUUUGUUCCUCAGCAGCCGGGCCUGAAGUGUUGUAAUCCCCAGCAGGGUUGAUGUUAGUUCCCCAACAGGGUUGAUGAUAGUUCCCCAGCAAGUCUGUACGUUGCUGUUUCCCCAGCGGAGGUGGGCGUUGUUUGUUUUCCCCAGCGAAAUCCCCAAGCGGACCGAGUUCAGUGGAGAUCGUCCCCAGUGAGGGUUAUCAUUUCAGCAGUAAGUGCAAUUCCCCAGUAUGAUCGAAAGGUUGGUGUUUUCCCAACAAGUGACUCCCCAGUUGAGUUGGUUUCUCUGCCGUCUCGAGAAUGUCAGGUCAACAAGUAUCUGCAGCAGGGUUGUUGCGUUUCCCCACAGAGUUGGAGGAUCAAAUCAAGAUCGUGUGCUCCACAGAGUGAUCACGUGCUCUCCCAGUAGGAGUUUUCAUCCUUGGCAUCUUGCAUAUAGUAAUCAUCAUUUUCAUUUGCAUCCUCAGAAUGCGUAGCAUUUCCAUCCAAUAUGGAGCAUUACGCCAUAGAAAAACUCAAACAUAUGCAUACAUGUGUUAAACCAGUUUGGAUCAUACCCCCAGCAGAGGUGGCACAUUUGCGGCAGUUGCUCCUGACAGCAUUCAGGAUUGGUAAUCCUCAGAGAGGUUUAUUUCCUCACCCGUCCGUGAAAGGAAAGCUUGAUUUUCUCCCCAGUGUUGACACCCGCGUGUGUUCUUCUCUUUUUUGAUGUCGGUAAACAUCAUCUUUCGAUAUCGGUAAACAUCGAGUCCUUCCCAGUCAUCGGUAAAUGUCUGGUCGUACUUUUUUUUGAUGUCGGUAAACAUCAUCUUUCGAUGUCGGUAAACAUCGAGUCCUUCCCAGUCAUCGGUAAAUGUCUGUGCCUGGUGUACUUUUUUUGAUGUCCUCGUCGUAGCAUAUCAUCUUCGAUGUCAGUGUAAACUCAAGUCCUCCAGUCAUCGGUAAUGUCUGGUCGUAGCUUUUUUUGAUGAUUUUUUUUUAUUUUUUUUGAUUUUUUUUUUUUUUUUUUUUUUUUUUUUUUUUUUUUUUUUUUUUCCGGGUAAACAUCAUCUUUCGAUGUCGGUAAACAUCGAGUCCUUCCCAGUCAUCGGUAAAUGUCUGGUCGUACUUUUUUUUGAUGUCGGUAAACAUCAUCUUUCGAUGUCGGUAAACAUCGAGUCCUUCCCAAUCAUCGGUAAAUGUCUGGUCGUACCUUUUUUGAUGUCGAGAAACAUCAUCUUUCGAUGUCGGUAAACAUCGAGUCCUUCCCAGUCAUCGGUAAAUGUCUGGUCGUACUUUUUUUGAUAUCGGUAAACAUCAUCUUUCGAUGUCGGUAAACAUCGAGUCCUUCCCAUACAUCGGUAAAUGUCUGGUCGUACCUUUUUUGAUGUCGGUAAACAUCAUCUUUCGAUGUCGGUAAACAUCGAGUCCUUCCCAGUCAUCGGUAAAUGUCUGGUCGUACUUUUUUUUGAUGUUGGUAAACAUCAUCUUUCGAUGUCGGUAAACAUCGAGUUCUUCCCAGUCAUCGGUAAAUGUCUGGUCGUGAUUCCUUUUUCCCAGUCAUCGGUAAAUGUCUGGUCGUGAUUCCUUUUUCCCAGUCAUCGGGAAAUGUCUGGUUGUGAUUCUUCUUUUUCCCAGUCAUCGGUAAAUAUCUAGUUGUGAUUCUUCUUUUUCCCAGUCAUCGGUAAAUGUCUGGUCGCCCUUUUUGGUGUCGGUAAACAUCUUCUUUCGAUGUCGGUAAACGUUGAGUUUAUUCCCAGUCAUCGGUAAAUGUCUGGUCAUGUAUCCUUUCUUUGAUAAAUAUCAAAAUCCCCAGUAGAGUCGUCGGUAAACGUCUUGUCUGGUUCCAGUUGUAAACAUCUUGUUCCUCCCCAGUCGAAGCCGCCAUCGGUAAAUGGCCCCGCUUUCCUUGAUAUCAGUGUAUAUCAAGUCGACUGUUUCGAAGCCGCCAUCGGUAAAUGGCCCCGCUUUCCUUGAUAUCAGUGUAUAUCAAGUCGACUGUUUCGAAGCCGCCAUCGGUAAAUGGCCCCGCUUUCCUUGAUAUCAGUGUAUAUCAAGUCGUGGUUUCUUCAAUUCAUCCCCCCGCAGAGUGCAAAUUCCAGGUUCUUUUGGUAUUCAAUCCCUGUGUACCUUGAAGGUCUGACAGCUGUUGCUCUCAUCCGUUCAGGUUCCCAGUUGGUUGAAUAGGGGCAGCUGUAGAACCUCAAAUUUGCACCCCCCAUUCAUGCAUACAUUUCAUUUUUUUAGGUUAUUAAUAUUACAUCUUGCAUUGCAUCAUUGCAUUCAGAAUUGGCAUCAAGAGAAUUCAUCUGUGCAAAGAGAGCAAGUUUUCCUUGAGUUGAAGGCCACAUGAGUAUUCUAGAGAGCUUAUAUGAAUCAAGGAUCAUUUUGAAGCAACUUUGCCAAGUGUUAGAGGCCCAACGUCCACAGUGCAUGUCCAGGUCAUCUAGGGCCCAUAAAAGUCAACUGAAAGUCAACUGAGGGCUAGGAGAUGGAGAAUUGGUUUGAGACACUUCAUUCAUGUCCAAAAGAAGUUUAUUCAUCAUGUCAAACAUCUACAUUGAAGAUUUUGAAGCCAGAUCAAAAAUUUCCCAAAAUGGAAAGUGACCUGUAAUUUCAAGUUUCCAAAAAUGGCAAGUUUUUGGACCAUAUUCAACUUGACUUUCCAACAUCAAAGAAACUUCAAAUGAAAAUUUGUCCAACAUGAAAGUUGAAGAUCUUUCUCUCCCAUUUCCAAAAAGUCUAAGAUCAUGAGCAUCUGAUGAAUGGUUGAGAAGUUAUGAGCAAAUGAUCACCAAGUGUGCAUGAAACUUCAAAGUGCCAUAACUUUUGAUCCAAAACUCCAAUUUAGGCCACUCUUUUUGCAAAUUGCAUGUCAUGACCUAUAUUUUCCAAAUACAUCAUUGCAUUGCAUGAAAUUAUCUCAUAUAAUCAUUUGUUCAUGCAUGUCCAUUUUUGAGGGAAAAUACCAAAUUCAAAUUUGGUGCAUCAUAUGAACAAAAUUCCAAUUCCAACAUGUGCAUGAGAUGAUUUAAAGUGAUUUUGAGCAUGCACAUGGAACUGUUCACGUUCAUUCACCAUGCAUAGGGUGCAUUUUACCAAUUUUGCACUACACCUCAUUUUGCAUUAAAAUUUCAUUAGCCAAGCCUAAGUAUCAUUAGCAAAGUAAUUAGCAUGUGGUAUAAAGCCUUAAUCAUAACAGAAAUUUCAUUGGAACACAUUCUAGAUCUAGAUCACAUUUUUCCCUCCAAUUUUUCUCUCAAUCCAAAUUCAAAAAUUCUUCAUAUAACACAUGAUUUUUAUUGCAUAAUCUGGUUCCUGGAUCAUCAUAUAGUAGGAAUUGAGUGUUGGAUUGAAGAAUUUCAUCAAGAUUCAAGCACCUCAAGCUCAAGAACAUGAAGAUGGAAGUUGCAAUUUGAUCAAGAUCCAAGCCAUUUCAAGCAUCCAUUCGUGUUUAAAGCUUUAAUAUAAAAGUGAAGGAGAAGAUCUGAACACUUGCUAGGCCUUGAAUCCACCGUUUCCAUUGACUGCUCUUCAAGAAGGUUUGAAAUCGAAUCUCUCAAUUCUCCAUUCUAUUGCCAUGAUUGUGUAGAGUUUUUCAUGCUGAUUACACUGAUAUAAAAUUCAUGAAAUCGAAUCUCUCAAUUCUCCAUUCUAUUGCCAUGAUUGUGUAGAGUUUUUCAUGCUGAUUACACUGAUAUAAAAUUCAUUGAAAAUGGUGGAAUAUUGAGUGAGAUAUGAAUGUUUAAAGUUUAAUGCAUGAUAAUGUUUUCGAUCGAUUCGCACGAUCCAUGGACUUUUAGCUGAAAUAGAUGUUAGAUUUGUGUUCCUCUCAACGAGAGCUUUCCAACGGUAUAAGCCAUGCCAAAUUCUGCAAAAAAAAAUUGAUGCGCUACUGUAGCGCCACCGUCUCCACGAAGGACACGGUGGAAACCACCACUGGUGAACAGUAGCCUUGCCACUCUGGUUCGUUCACUAGGGUUUUGAAUAGUGCGCGCCUUUCACCACACCAUCCUGAGUUCGAUUCCCAGCGAGCGUUCCUUUUAUUUUUCCAUUUAAUUCCCAGCCUUGGCCAAAACGACAAUGUUUUGAUGAGGCGCUCUGAACCUCCCUUCGAUUCCUGGCCACAGCGUUUCUGAUUUUUAUUUUGCUCAGCGCCUCAAUUUUUUCAUGUACACGGUUCGAUUCCCACUGACACCAUAUUUUCAAAUUCUAUCAACCUUUUCCAUUUCCCUCCUUAAUAGUAUACAAAACGAACAUUUUAUUUCAAUAUUUUCAUUCAAUUUGCAAAAUUCAUAACAAAUUGAAAAUGACUCCAAAUUGAAUGAGAUUUUUUGCCACAUGUUCAUCUUGAUGUCUAGUAUUUUAUAAUGUCCAUUUCCUGAUUUUAUCAUUUCUGGAUUUUUUAUGAUGAGCUGUUAUUUGAACAUGUAUGCAAAGGUGACAUGUUGGAUUCAAAUUGAUGUGAAAUGCUCAUACAUUGUCUAAUUGCUUUGAAAUUUGAUAUGCUGGUUCCUAAUAUGUUGCAUGAUUUAUGAGGCUUGGUUGUGCAUUUUUAACAUUUUCCAUUUCUGUUUUGGACACAUGAAUGUUUGGUGUGACAAUGUGUGUCACACAAUUUGAUGUCAUACUUGUUCAUUUUCAUUUCUAGGUCAAUUGAGAUCUGUUGAUUCUAAUUUUUGGCAUGAUGAUUGUGUUUGACAUGUUGUGUGCACAUAAAAAUUUUCAUGAUUGUUUGAUUCAUUUCUGUUUUAAUAUGGAAUUUUGAUUCUUGAUGUCCAAUUGUGAGCUUUGUAAUUGCCUUUGCCUUAGCAUGAUCAAUAGUUGGAUUUGCCUUAGGAUUUGAGUUUGGUCCUUUUUAGGACAUGUUCUUACUUGAAUAAAUGUGCUUCAUGUUGAAUAUUGGCUGCUGUUUUAACUUUUUGCUUUGCCUUUGACCCUAGUCUUGGUACUAGUGGUUUGUACUCAUCUUUUGAGCUUUGUAUUUCAGGUUCAAGCUAUUAGCUCUAGUGGUUGAUGCAAUCUUAUGACUUGAGAUGCAAAUUUUCUUUGUCCACUAACUUUUGUUAUGUUGUAGGUCUCUUGGUGAUGAACUCACUUGAGUUGUUGACUUGCCUUGUGUGCAUAUUGGUUGUAACAUUGUUGAUUGACUGUUUAGUUUGUCUGGAUGUGAAUAUUGACUUGUUUGACUUUCUUACAGGUACAUUAGUCGCUUUAGCUCAUUGCUUGAGCUGUGAUUUGCUUGUGGUUGGCAUACCACCUAGGUAAUCAUCCUCUAACUCCAUGUAGUCUGGAAGCCCUGUCGUUUCUUUUGGCAGGCAUUUGGCUGAAGUCCUCCUUAAGAGGCAAUGAUUGUGUUUGUUUACUCAUUGUGCCAUGUACUUCAAGUCCUCCUAAGUGAAGGGGCAAUUGGCAGAUAGAAGGGAUUAGCAAUCAAUCCCCUGCUAAUCGUUUGAGUCGUUCAUUAUGCUCGCACCACGUGCUGAGGCUCUUGAACCUAACCCAAGAUCCUUGUAUAUAGAGUCAGUCAAGUGGAGUAGGGUCCCNNNNNNNNNNNNNNNNNNNNNNNNNNNNNNNNNNNNNNNNNNNNNNNNNNNNNNNNNNNNNNNNNNNNNNNNNNNNNNNNNNNNNNNNNNNNNNNNNNNNNNNNNNNNNNNNNNNNNNNNNNNNNNNNNNNNNNNNNNNNNNNNNNNNNNNNNNNNNNNNNNNNNNNNNNNNNNNNNNNNNNNNNNNNNNNNNNNNNNNNNNNNNNNNNNNNNNNNNNNNNNNNNNNNNNNNNNNNNNNNNNNNNNNNNNNNNNNNNNNNNNNNNNNNNNNNNNNNNNNNNNNNNNNNNNNNNNNNNNNNNNNNNNNNNNNNNNNNNNNNNNNNNNNNNNNNNNNNNNNNNNNNNNNNNNNNNNNNNNNNNNNNNNNNNNNNNNNNNNNNNNNNNNNNNNNNNNNNNNNNNNNNNNNNNNNNNNNNNNNNNNNNNNNNNNNNNNNNNNNNNNNNNNNNNNNNNNNNNNNNNNNNNNNNNNNNNNNNNNNNNNNNNNNNNNNNNNNNNNNNNNNNNNNNNNNNNNNNNNNNNNNNNNNNNNNNNNNNNNNNNNNNNNNNNNNNNNNNNNNNNNNNNNNNNNNNNNNNNNNNNNNNNNNNNNNNNNNNNNNNNNNNNNNNNNNNNNNNNNNNNNNNNNNNNNNNNNNNNNNNNNNNNNNNNNNNNNNNNNNNNNNNNNNNNNNNNNNNNNNNNNNNNNNNNNNNNNNNNNNNNNNNNNNNNNNNNNNNNNNNNNNNNNNNNNNNNNNNNNNNNNNNNNNNNNNNNNNNNNNNNNNNNNNNNNNNNNNNNNNNNNNNNNNNNNNNNNNNNNNNNNNNNNNNNNNNNNNNNNNNNNNNNNNNNNNNNNNNNNNNNNNNNNNNNNNNNNNNNNNNNNNNNNNNNNNNNNNNNNNNNNNNNNNNNNNNNNNNNNNNNNNNNNNNNNNNNNNNNNNNNAUACCACCUAGGUAAUCAUCCUCUAACUCCAUGUAGUCUGGAAGCCCUGUCGUUUCUUUUGGCAGGCAUUUGGCUGAAGUCCUCCUUAAGAGGCAAUGAUUGUGUUUGUUUACUCAUUGUGCCAUGUACUUCAAGUCCUCCUAAGUGAAGGGGCAAUUGGCAGAUAGAAGGGAUUAGCAAUCAAUCCCCUGCUAAUCGUUUGAGUCGUUCAUUAAGCUCGCACCACGUGCUGAGGCUCUUGAACCUAACCCAAGAUCCUUGUAUAUAGAGUCAGUCAAGUGGAGUAGGGUCCCACAUUCUGGAUCCCCACGUUUUCAUUGAUUGAAGCUCACCCAGGCCCGGGUUAAGAGCUAUGAGGUCCAAUCCUCAUUACCUUUCAUCUGCUCACCCUGACGGUCAAUGUCAGUGGUUAAGAGCCCUCAGAUACCCGUCUAGUUGGCUUGUUUGUCGAGGUUGAUAUGACCCCUUGACUAAAGCCCGACUUGUUUGUCGAGGUUGAUAUGACCCCUUGACUAAAGCCUCACCCUUGAUGAUUGAGCCCCUUGUUGGUGUGUUUACUUCAUGUAUAUGUUUUUGCAUGUGGUGAUUGUAUCCCCAUAGGAUUGCUAGACUUCGCAUAGUCUCUCGUUUGCAUGUCAAUUAAGGUAGCACGGUUCCUUCGUCUAGGACUUCCUUUCUUACGUGAGCUUUUCUAAAACAUAAACCAACAUUACCUUCCCUUAAGGACACGCUAACUCCUUCUACUUCAGGUGAGUAAGUCUCCCAGGGUCGAGCAUCCGGUAGAUUGCGUAGUAACGUCGUUCACCUAAAAAACACACAACAAAUAGAAACAGUUUAGCCGAACUACGACAACUCUGAUUCUCAUGUCUAGAUGAGAUACGUAGGCACGAGAUGCGAUGUCUUGUCGAGUUUGACUGACGACUAACAUUUUCUUCUUUUCUCUCGCCUUCGUUGUGAUCGAGACCUUCCUUUUCUCUUGCCCUAGUUGCAAUCGAGACCCUUCUGCUUUGUGUGUGUGUUUGGAGUCUGAUGUAAGCCCAACGAUUGGCAUUCAGUUUCCCGUUUGUGUUUGUUUGUUUGGAGUCUGAUGUAAGCCCAGCGAUUGGCAUUCGGUUUCCCGUUUGCGUUUAUUUGUUCGGAGUCAGAUGUAAGAUCAGCCAUUGGCAGUCUGUUUCCAGUUGUGUGUUUUCUCUGACGUCUCAGCGUCUUUGGUUUAGCGUUUUGUUUCGGCGUGUGUUAGCCGAACUACGAGUGCUCUGAUUCUUCCUCUGGUCAGAGAAGAUACGUAUGCAUAGGAUGCGAGGUCCUAGCGAGCACGUUUCCCGUUUCCCCGAACUACGUCGACUCUGAUGUUUGUGUCUGACAAACUACGUAGGCCCAGGAUGCGACAUCCUGCCGAGUCCGCUUCCUCCGUUUUCUUCCAUCUGUGUUUCAUUCCAGUUUUGUGCAGUUUUUGAGCAGUUAUUUAGCAACCUUUUUCUAUUCUUUCUGAGCGUGGAUCCCGUCGAGUACGACGGACGUGAGGGGGUGCUAAUACCUUCCCCUUACGUAACCGACUCCCGAUCCUUGCAAUCUCUGGUCGUAAGACCAUUCCUUUCUCUUUUCCAGGUUUACUUCGAGCGUUUCCUUUCCCUCCUUUGGGAUAAAUAACGCACGGUGGCGGCUCUGUGUCUUUUCCCGCCGGUUGUUUUUCGCGUAUGCGACAUAAAGGAUCGUGAGGUACAUAUUCAUGUACACGGCAUCUAAAUCGCUUCGGAUCCUAAUAACAAAAAAGUAAGAAAAUACAAUUAGAAGAAGAAAUACAUACUCAACAAACACACAUCUAUAAGAAGUAAGAAAAACAUAGAAAGUAAAAAGAGAGAGAUAACAAAGGUAUAAGACUAAAAACAUAAAAAGAAAAAAGAGAGAGAUAACAUACAUAUGCCGAGAUAUUCUCGAGUGUGCCUCUAUGUUCAUCGCCCAUAGUUAACAAAUACAUGAUUUAAUUUUGCAAAGCUUGAGUGUGGUAGAUGAAAGAAGUGUGGUAGAAGAAUAUAAUUGAGUAUUUGUAAGACCCUAAUUUUGACCCUAAGAUUCCUCAUGGCAUCAUGUUAUUGCACAAGUGCAUUGCCUCAAGGAUCAUAGCAUGUUUGGCUCCUUACCCCUAGGAUUGAGAUUUGUUUGAGUGUUUUGAGACCACCAAGCAUGCUUGUAUUGUAUAUUAUUUCUUUUCUUAUUUUUUAUUACUAACCAAAAGCACAAAAAUUUGUCACUAACUCUUUUUGUUUUGAAGCUCAAGUGAUCAUGUGCUCCAAUGCUCCUAAGAGGCUCCUAAGCCCAAUGAAAUGGCUAAAUGAAGAUGAAUAAAAGCAUGACAAUGGUCCAAAAAGUUCCUAAUCAUCAUAUAUGUAUCCCAAGUAUCUCAAAUUUCCAAUUUGAUCAAAAUAACCCAAAGGGCUUGAGGAUUGUUUCCCAAGGAAACCUUAAUUCAACUUUGCUUUGACUGUGCCUUGUCCAUGAAGCAACCUCAACCUAUGGUCAAAUUAAAUCAAGGUAAGUUAUUUCAUUCAUCAUUUUAUGCAUAUAUGAGCCUAUUUGAGGAUCCUUAAUCAUUUAUUCAUCAAGAUUGGAAGUUUGGCCUUGAAAAGUUGACUAGUCAAAGUCAUCUGACUAAACUGAGGAUCACUGAGAUACAACUUUUGAUGUAUUUGUCAAAUGAAGAUGACCCCAAGAUAAAAAAUGUUCCUAAGAACCAUAUUAACACCUUUCAUGUUCAUAAAAAAUCCAUUUGAAACUUGGAAGGUCAUCAUUUAUUUCAAAAUAUUAUAGGUCAUUUUCACUGAAACCCUAAUUUUGGAUCAACAUACCAAGGACAUAAUUUCCUUAAUUUUUAUGAUUUUAAGGUUAGAAAAAAUUAAUUGGAAAGAUUGAGAUGUCUACUUCAAAUGUUAUGUUUUACAAAAUUACAUAAUCCUAAAAUAAAUACAUGUGAUAAUACAAAACAUUAUAGGUCAUAUUGGACCUAAUUCAUUGAAUUUGAAAAAGUACCCAACUUCAGAUGCCCAUAACUUUGUCAUAGAAAAUACAAAUGAUUCAAAAUUUGAGUCUAAAUUUAUCAUCUUGAAAAUAUAUACAACUUUAAUGUUGAAGGUUUUUCCACUUGAGGCUUGCAUCAUGAAAAUAGAGGGGUUUGAUUAAGCUUGCUUUUGGGGAAAAUUUUCAAAAUGACUUAAACAUGUUUUGUACUUGGAUUUUCAUAGCCAGUGUUCAUCAAUUUCCAAAUUCCAAAUGAAUUUUUUCCGAACACGACUUUUGUUCCUUAUUUCAAGGGCUUUCCAACCAUUACUCACAUUGCUCUUUUGGACUUACCAUUGGUGAAUUUCGAAGACCUUUCCAUUUAUGUGCAUUUUGGUAUUUUAUGAUGAAACUUGAAUGUGCAAGCUAGUUUCCUCCAAAAUGCACGUCCAAAUCCUUUCCAUGUGAACUCAGCAAGCUUUUGCAUCCAUCAUUGGGCCUUCCACACACCUGUACAGGCUCAUGCACAUCAAAGCUCAAAUUUCAUGCACAUGAGAGAAGUGUAUGAUCAUCCACAUUUAGCUAUAAAUAGAGUUUCCCUCUCACUCAUUUGGGAACCUUUUGGAGAUCUGAAUUGCUGCAGCAUUUAAACCAUAGCCAUACCAAAAGAAUUUUUCAAAUUUUGUUCUCACUUUCGAGCUUGAAAUUCAGCAUCAUUAGCUGAUCUUCAAAGCUUAAUUCCUUAGCCUUUCACUUCCCCUACAUCCAUAGAUCAAAGAGGAGCAAUGAUCUUGAAGGAUUCUGUUGAAAAGUAUGUUUUCGGCAAAUAUUUUAAUAUCGUAUCCACAGAGAUUGGUUGUUAUUACCUCCGUUCUAUAAUCCAAAUUCUUAUAAGUUUAAAAUGUAACCAAGUUGUUUUGUUUGAAAAGUUAUCUUUUGAGUAAAAUGUCACUAAAAUAAUAAAAUAGUUUUAAUCAAAUGUAAAAGGCUUGGCAAGAUUGGAGGUCACUAUCCUAUUUUCUUAUGUUUCCUUAAUGAUACCUAUAUGGACUUAAGAUUAUUGAUGAUGUUCAAGUAUCCUCUCAAUAUCAUUUAUUUCUAAAUAAUAUUGUGAUAAUUACUGUUAGACGUUUCCCACCUAAUAUCUAAUAAUAGAAAUCUUUAAUGUUUGAUACAAAAGAAGAGUAGUGUAUAAAUCUAUUUCUACAACUCAUUCACUACUUGAAAGCAUAUUUUAAGUCAAGAUUUGAAUAAUCUUUCUCAACAACUACUCAAAUAUAAAUAUUCAAAAUAUGGCAAAAAUAUCAUUCAAUACAUCAAUAAUCUUUUAUCAUAUACAAGAGUCAAAUGGAAUACAUAAACAAAUAGGAAUAGCUACUACCUCCAAUCUUGACAAAAUGGGGUUUAGCUCCUCAUCAUCAUUUUGGACAGCAAAAUGCAAUAGCAAACUAAAACUCUAUUUUUCUUCUACAAUGUGUGUCUCUCUAUUUUUUCCAUUCUGUUUUCUUAAAGAGCUCAACCUUUCCUAAAAUGUUCAUUUUCAUCUAAGACUGAAAAGCACUCUAAAAAUGAUAUAAAACUGUCACACUAAAGUUUGGUUGAAAACAGAACACUUGGCCCAAACAAAAUGCUUGCUGGUUUCGCAAGGUUCGCGGCGCCAUCCCUGGUCGCGGCACGAAUUGAAGCAAUUUCAGCUUCCUUGCCUUGCAAGCUUCAUUCAACAAUUCUCCCAAGUGUUAUUCUUCCAAAUUAUGCUUCCACUCCAAUGCUCUUUUGUCCAAAGACUCUACAAAACUAACAAAUACGUGAAAUAUCUACUUAAAACAUAAUCACUUAAACUUAAUUGCAUUUAUACAAAAUUGUGAGGAUAAAAGUGUGUAAUUCAAUCAGAAAAUGGUAAAAGGGACCAAUAAAUUAUAUGAAAAGUGUGUACUAUUGGUCCCUAACAACUCUCCCAACUUAUCAUUUUUUGUUUGCCCUAACAAAAGUUUUCACCAAAACAACCAAAGCAAUGACAAUAGAAUUGAAACAAGGAUUAACCAAGGCACAUUUCAAAUGGUUCAAAGUGUAUGGCACUUUAUCUUCCACCUAUUUCAGCUCGACAAAGAACAGAAAUAAGGCAAUGGUUGGGUUGCAAAUAUCAUACCAAAGAAUUCAAAGCAAUACAUGUCAAAAUUGAAUCAAACUUACACACACAUCAUAAUAAUGAUGAAUAAACAUGAAGGUUUACUUUCACUCAUCCAAACAAUUAAAUCAACAACAACUCGAAUCAUACGGUCAUCAAAGCAAAUACUAAAUCAUGUGAAAAAUGAGAAUCAAGAGGUCUUUCAAAGGUUGUAAUGUGACUUGGGUUACAAGAAAGAAAAUGAUUAAGAGAAUUUAACAAAAAUGCCUAUCCUAUGGGAGCAUUCCCAUACAUUCGACUCAACAACAAUUUCCGUUUCUUUGAUCCCCAUCUUUCUUCUUUUCUUAUUUUUCACAUCCACACAACCAUGAGUUUUUUCUUUGUUUUUUCUUUCUUUUCUUUAUCUUUGCUCUAUAGUUUCAAAGGUGAUUUCUUUUUCUUGUUUCUUUUUACACUUUCACCCUUUUAUAAAACAUCACUUUUAGAAGUUUCUAAUCAACUCUUCUAAUUUACUCUCCCCAACUUUAGAUUUCAAAACCAAAAUUAUUCAAUAAUGCUCCCUACUUAGGAAUAGGCGAAAGGCAAAAUUUGCAAACAAACUUGGUUUGAAGGUUCAAUUGAAACGAAAGAAAUUAGGAUUCAUUUAUUCACAAAAUUUUCAAUUGACUUUACACUUAUCAAUCAAAUGAAUCCUAAAACAAGCUCAAAGGGGGUUAACUAAGGAUCACUCCUCACAAGGUUAGUUGAUUCAAAACUUUUUUGGCACAAGUGGUUUUUCUCAUAACAAACAAUGCUCUAUCAUUUUUCACAAAUUUUUUACAAAAUAGAUUAAUGUAUGAUUUUGGCAUGAUAAGAAUGAAUUGAAAUAAUGUUCGGUUUCCCGGCGAUUUUAGUGUACAAUGGAAAGCUACCUCACAAUUGGUUAAGGUCCUAUUUUGAUCAAAAAUACAUGAAAAAAAAUAUUCUCGGAUGGAAUUGUGAUUUUGCAUUGGAACCUAUUAACACACACACAUUCCAACUAUCAUUGUUAAGUCUAGAAAGCGAUAAAGUGUACCUUGAAAUGCCGACACUAAUUCUUAUCAUCACCACUCGAAGUGUCCUACGCUUCCUUCUUUGCAAGCAUUUCUUGGUUGCUUUAAGCUUAACUUAAGAAUACGAAAAAUUAAACAAAAAAAUGGGGUAUACCAAAUUCAUUGUAACACACAAUUAAAUCUCACAAAAGAUUCAUGCAAUUAACAAACAAAAGUUUAUGGUGAAACUAGAGCCACCAAAAGUACAAUAAUUAAGCAAAAACCAUAAUAAUAAAAACUCAAAAAAUAAAAAUCUACUACUACUCAAACAAAAUCCUCAAUCUUCCUCAUGAUCACCACCAACGGAUCCAAGGACAUCCUCCAUCUCAUCAUCAUGGGUCGCACCACCUCCUGCACCCCCCAUAAAAGCUGGCUGCCCUCAGGCCAAUUAGCAUAAGCAGCAUACUCUGCCUGGGAAGGAAAAGUGCGGGCUUCGGGCGCAAGGAAGGUGUUCUGAAAUUGCUGCUGCAUAGCAUCAAAAAUGAAUGAUUGAGACCUCCUAGAGGCCUCAAAGCUCUCACAUCAAUAAGUAGCGAACGCCAUCUGAUCGAAUGUUGGCGUACUGCGGGCUCGGGGUCUAGAGGAAGAAGUGCCAGUUCCUUCAGCUCUGUACAUCUGGCUCUAGAAAAACCUGUUCAGAUAAGCAUCAUUAAUAAUACUAGUGAUAGACAAGUGUACCUCAUCCGGAAUGGGAACAUUUGCCCUUCGGCAAAGUCCCAUAAUCAACCCCGGAUAUGUUAGAACACCAGCUUUCCCACCGAACUUCGUUCCACUAGUAGCAACUUUGCGCAUUUCCCCCGCAAUGAUGGAUGCCACAUCUACUGAUUUACCAAUCAUGAUGUAGUACAAUAGGCAUCCGACAUCCAAUGGAAUGUUGGUGUUGUGGCUCCUUGGCUGAAUAUUAUUCAAUAGAAGCACCAAAUAGGCCCUUGCUUCCAAGUUCAAACUCUCCCUCUUCCACGACUUCGGGAAUCCUUGAUCAUUCAAAUCAUAAUUCCUUCCUUCAAGGCAUAGAUGAGCACUCAUGGUAGAAAGGUCCCAAUCGUUGGCCAUUUCUUUGGCACGGUACUCGCACCGCCCAUUCUCCGCUAAAAUGAGAGGAUUACCCAAAUAGGAGUUGAUCGUGUCCCUACUGAAGGAACUGAUCUUUCCCCUCACUCUUGUUUGAUAGUGAAAUGCCACUCCCUCCUCCAGCUGAAGAGCAUUGGCGUAGAACUCACGCAUAAUAUCAUAAUUUAUCUCUGGCUCCGGUUCACAAAUCUUGUUCUAUUUUCUUCUUUCAAAAUUCGACACCAACUUCCUAUAAGUUCCACCUGGUGACAAGCGGAUGAAUCUUUCCGGUUGAAUGGUCCUUUUGAUCAAUUUUUCGAAUCUCUCCUCGUGCUCAUCACUAGUGAAUCAUCGCACGGAUCAUGGAGGACCGAAGGUUUUGGUACGUUUUGACAUCUGCAACAAAAUCAGAACAACCACACAAAAGCCAUAAGAGAAGUUAGCAUUCAAAAUCAAAAAUCAUGAAACUGAAAUUUCCCAGUUUGCAGCACGAACCCUGCGAACAAGGAAAAUAACAGUAGCCUUCUAGGGUUCCUUUUGCUUAAAAACUCUUCUCAAUCAUAACCAUAAUCCCUUACCCAGUCCUAAUUUGAAUCCUUUAUAGACAUGCAAGGCUAAAUUCAACAACUAAAUCAUUUUCUAGCAAAACCCUAUUUCACCUAAAUGAGGAACAAAGAGGAAAGGGAAGAGAUUACACAUACCUUUGUUGAGGAUUGACUUGAUUCUUGUUAAAAAGUUUGGGAUUUUUGAAAUGGAGAGGAUUAAUUGUGAAUUUUUGAAGUGGGGUAGUGAAAGUGAUGAAGAGAAUUGUGAAAUUGUGAAUUUGGAAAUGAAAUAGAAAUAACACCAAAACAGAACUUAAAAGGUUCUGCAACGCUCAGUUCGCUGGGCGAACUUUGUUCGCGGCGCCAACCUGAAUUUUUCCAUUGAGUUCACGAGGCGAAGGCUGUUCGCGGGGCGAACUGAAGGAAAUUUUAGAAAUUUUUGGCAAUGGACAGAACUCAUUUUUCACAUAAAAAGGAACAAAACAGAAUACAUUAACAACUGAAUUGACAAAACUUGAAAUGCAAACUUAUAACGUUGGGUUGCCUCCUAUGGUAAAUGACACAGACAUCUCGAUUCACUUCUCCACUAUGGUAGACUUUUAGUCUUUGUCCAUUUACAGUCUAGCUUUCCUGUGACUUUGGAUCCUCAACCACGAUGGCCCCAUAGUUUCGCACCUCCUUUACAACAAACGGUCCCGACCACUUGGACUUUAGCUUACCGGGAAACAACUUCAAUCUUGAAUUGAAAAGCAGUACCAUUUGUCCAACUUUAAAAUCUUUGUGACGGAUCUUUCCAUCAUGGUACACUUUCACUUUUUCCUUGUACAGUUUGUUUGAAUGGUAGGCAUUAUUCAGUGAUUCCUCCAAUUCAUGGAGUUGUCCUUUUAUUUUCUCUCCAGCUAAAGUGGAGUCAAAGUUCAAGAAUUUGAGAGUCCAUAGUGCUCUAUGCUCCAUUUCCACCGGGAGAUGACAAGUCUUCCCAUACACCAUCUGCAAUGGAGUUAGUCCAAUAGGAGCUUUGUAGGCGGUGCGAUACGCCCACAAAGCUUCAUCCAAUUUUAAUGACCAAACUUUUCUUGAACUCGAGACGGUUUUUUCAAGGAUCCUCUUCAGUUCUCGGUUAGAAACUUCCGUCUGACCAUUCACUUGUGGAUGGUAGGGAGUAGUCACCUUAUGCUUUACAUCAUAAUGUUGUAAAACUUUUUCCAAAGGUGUAUUGCAAAAGUGUGAUCCUCCAUCACUUAUCAACACCCGAGGCACACUAAAACGUGAGAAUAUGUUUUUCUUUAAAAAAUUUAUCACCGUUUUGGAGUCGGCCUUAGGUGAAACAAUUACUUCCACCCACUUCGAAACAUAGUCAACGGCCACGAGGAUAUACUCAUUUGAGAAGGAAGAGGGGAAUGGGCCAACGAAAUCAAUACCCCAACAAUCAAAAACUUCUACUUCUAACAUGUUGGUUAGAGGAAUUUAAUCCCGUUUGCCUAUUCCUCCACUUCGUUGGCAUGUGUCACAACUCUUCGCAUGUUCAUGUGCAUCUUUAAACAAAGACGGCCAAUAAAAGCCCGCUUGGAGCACUUUAGUGGUUGUUCUCAAACCGCUAUAGUGACCUCCAUACGGGGAGUUAUGACAAUGCCAAAGGAUGUCUUUUGACUCCUCAAGUGUCACAAACCUUCUUAAAAUAAUGUCUGCACCCACUUUAAACAAAUACGGAUCAUCCCACACAUAGUAUUUUGCAUCCGCUAAGAAUUUCUUCCGUUGAUUACUAGUGAGGUCUUCCGGUGUCAAACCGGUUGCCUUGUAAUUAGCAAAAUCAGCAAUAGCCUGCUUGAUCUCGGGACGUAACCCGUUCUCAAACUUCACACACUUUGAAAAUUCCCCAGUAGCCUCAUCAUAGGGAGUGUAAUACUUCGACAGCUCUGUGAACUUAGCAGCAUAACUGCAAGUACAGAGGUUGCCCUGCUUCAAUUCCAAGACUCUAUCUCUUUCUUUCUCUGACAUCCUCUGGAAAAUACUUCCUCAGAAAUCUCUUCUGAAACAGCCCAAGUGAUCUCAGCACUUCCAGCAGCUUCCAACUCAGUGCGGGUAGCAACCCACCAUCAUCUGCUUCCUCUGACAGCAUAUGCGUACCGAACCUGACCUUCUGGUUAUCGGCACACUCAGUCACCCGGAGAUCUCUCGAUCUCCUUCAACCACUUCUGAGCACCAUCUGGAUCGUAUGCUCCCUUGAAACAUUGGAGGAUUGUUCCUCUGGAACUCACUCAGUUGACGAGCAGCUCCCAGUCCCACAACAUUCGGAUUCCCUCCAAGUACUCCAGCUAGCAUACCAGAGCCUCAGCAAUCGCAGCAUCGUCUCUACCUCUUCCAGCCAUCUCUAUUCUGAAAACCCCAACAAGCUAAACAAUAAGUACUGAUAGGGUUACACAACACUAUCCCGUACAGGGAAACAGAAUAAUUACGACCUCGACUCGACCGACUAUGUCUGAUACCAUAAUGUAACACCCUUCUAAAAAUACCCCAAAUAUUUAAUUAAAACAACAAAAUAUACUCAGAGUAAUUAUGCAGUUAAGGGUGUCACCCAACAUUCUUCACGCAUUUAUCAAAAUAGCUUGUCAUACUCAUUUAUUUAUCAAUUAAAACAUUUGCAUAUAACGCAGCGGAUAGAGAUCAAAUCGAUCAUUCAAAAACAUGUAACUCAUACAUGUAAAGUCAUUCAACACCAACAAUGAAAAUAGAAGACAAAAUCCCGUCCGAUGUUACAUCUAUCAGAGCAUGACCCACUAAGGAAAUUACACUAGACUCCAAACAUCAGCUUCUACUCAAAUCACUGCUCGUUACCUGAAAAAUAGUUGUAAGGUGAGUUCCUCAAUCGAUAUAAUAAGCAUUAUAACAUCAUGUAAUGCUAAGUAAUUUAACACAUAUCAUCACCCUAAUCAGAUCACAUAUUCAGCAACGACCAUCAUACUCAUAUUAUAAUAAUACUCAACACCAACACAAAAUAACACGUAUAAUAUUGGAAUACAUCCAUUCAUAUUAUACGCCAUACAUACAUACAUUAUGCAAUGAGACUCCAUGCAUGCGGUACCGACUAUUUGUGAACAUAUAGUUCAACCUCACGAUCAAUCCAGAUACGGCUACCAAGCUCACUAGUCCCACUCAUUUGAGACCUAGUGACUCACUCACUAAUUCCUCACCAUGGGAAUUAGCUACCACCCCCAAGGGCUAUGAUAUGCACGCUAAUCACCUAGCAUGCAAACAUCAACAACAAUCCACAACAACUCACUAAUUCUCACCAUGGGAAUUAGCUACCACCAUAAAGGCCACAAUAUACAUGCUAAAUCACCUAGCAUGCAAACAUCAACAACAAUUCAAAAUAGACAUAUGCUCACACUCUAAGCCAUAAACAGUCCAUUUACAAUUGCAUACAUAACAGAUACAUUCACAGCAUUAUGCAUACACUAUCACACUCAGCAUGUUUAUCACAUAAUCAUAUCAUGUCAUACCACACAAUCAAUCACAGUAUUAGCACAACUCUACUAACACCUAUACUGCUCAAAACAACGGGAAAUGAUCCCUACCAUAUCAUACAUCAGCUAAACUACAUCACUCAUCUGAAACGACCAAAACUGCACAACAACAGCUCAGGAAAACCAAAUUCUGCCCAUACGCGUAUGCCCCAUGUCCAUACGCGUAUUAGCCCAUUUUCUGGCCAAGCCAUACGCGUAUUGCCCAUCUCAUACGCGUAUGCUACGCGUACUACUUCCUCAUACGCGUACCAACAGAGACAAAUUUUACGUUAAAACACUCAUCUUCUUCAUCCAUACGCGUAUGGUCUCACCCCAUACGCGUACCACCACAGAAUCGCGUAAUGACGGCGUAUGGCGCGUAUCAACGCAAUCCCCUCCUUCCAAGCCAUCUCAUACGCGUAUUGCCUAGUGCCAUACGCGUUGACCAGAACCAAAAUUUCAGAUCUGCAAUGGGUUUUCUCUGCUACGAGAUUCCUCAGAUCCAACCUCCCACAGUCCAAUUUUCACAGUAUUCGUUCAUAUCAUCUAACACGAAUCAUACCGUAUCCAAUUUCACAAAUUCUAACAUUCAUCAUUCUAAUCAGGGACAAUUCAAUGGCUUAUCACUACCCAUUACAUGUUAACCCAUAUACCCAUUAAACGACGAUAACCCCCCUUACCGAGUUAAUCCGCACAAUCCCCUCAGCUUCAAGCUCUUCCUCUCUUCAACCCUUGUUCUCUGGCUCUUUUUCCACUUUCAGUCGCUUCUCUCUGUUUUUCACGUGAAAACCUCUUUUUACCAAAUGGGAUAUUUUUCUAAUUCCAACUUUUAUAUUCCAAAUAAUAAUAUUCCAAAUAAUAAUAAUCCAAUUAUUUAAUUAAAAUUAAUAAUAUAUUAUUAACUUAUUUUAAAUAAUUAUCUUAUUUUUAUCGGGGUGUUAAACUACUCUCCCACUAAAAGAGUUUCGUCCUCGAAAACAUACCUCAAGCAAUAACUCUGGAUAAGACUCUUUCAUCUGACUCUCAAGUUCCCAAGUCACAUUGCCACCUGCUGUCCCCCAGCUACCUUCACCAAUGCAAUCUCUUUACCCGCAACUGUUCAACUCUCGAUCCUCGAUCCUCAUAGGUGAGUUUCAACAAUCAGGUAUCUCUCACUGUACAUCAUCUACUUGGUCUACAUCGAACGGAUCAGGAAUGUACCUCCUCAAUGAGACACAUGAAAACCUGAUGCAAUUCGCAAGUGACGGCGGUAAAGCGAUACGAUAGGUACCUCCCUAUCCUCUCCAAAAUCUGAUAAGGACCAAUAAAUCGAGGUGUCAACUUCUUCGACUUCAAAGCUCGACCAACCCCAAUUAUCGGAGUAAACGAAGAAACACAUGAUCUCCCUCUUGAAACUCAAGUGACUUCCUUCCUCUUUAAUGAAACUCUUCUGACGACUCUGAGCAAUUUCAUCUUCUCCUGAACUCCUUAAUCUUUUCCGUAGUUUGUUGACCAUCUCAGGUCCAACCACAGCACUCUCACCGGACUCAUACACAUAAAGGUGUCGCGACAUCUCCUACCAUACAAAGUUCAAACGGUGCAUACAAUCGCUCGAAUGAAAACUAUUGUUGUAGGUAAACUCAAUCAAAGGUAAGUAACAAUCCCAAGCACUUCCCUUUUCCAAAAAGCAACAGCCCUCAAAAGAUCCUCCUAGUGACUGAAUCGUCCUCUCCGUCUGACCAUCAGUCUGCGGAUAUAUGCGCAACACUCAAUCUCAGCUUAGUUCAAAGCCUCUGCAACCUUCCCAGAACUUCGAUGUAAAUCUAGGAUCCUCUGUCCGAAACAAUACUACGACGGAAUCCAUGCAAACUUACAAUUCUUCUCAAUAUACCACUCCAGCUAAUCUUCUAACGGAUAGUCAUUCUGAUCGGAAUGAAUGAAGCGAUUUUGUCAAUCUGUCAACAUCACCAAAUACGCUUCAAAACAUUCUUAAUUGUCCUCGGUAACCAGAAACAAAAUCCAUACUGAUACUAUCCCCUUCCACUCUGGAAUAGUCAACGUUUGCUUAGCCCAGACGGCUUCUGAUGCUCAAUCUUUGACUUUCUGACAAGUCAAACAGAAUAAAAAAAACUCGCAAUUUCCCUUUCUUCCGGCCACCAAAAUAACUUUUUCAAAUCAUGAUACAUCUUCGUAGCCCCAGGAUGAAUACUCAGGCCAUCACGAUGUCCUUCCUCAAGAAUACUCUUCUUAAGUUCGUACCAUCCGGAUCACACACCUGAUUACCAAUUUCAAAACCCAUUCUCAUCAACUCGAAUUCACCACUUGACCUUGAUUCACUAGAGUCAAACUUAUCACCAAAAACACAUCGGAUUCUCUGGCCCUCUCUAAUCUCGUCCGAACACACUCGUUAACUUCAACAUUCCAUUAACAACUAUUGUGAGUACUCUCACACACCAAACUCAAGUCUCUAAACUGCGUCAAGUAAAUCAAUUCCUUAACCAUUAACCAUAGACAUAUGCAAUGAUUCCGACUCAAUGCCAUCAGCACUACGUUUGCUUUACCUGGAUGUAAUCUCAAACCAAAGUCAUAUCCUUCAGAAACUCUAACCAUCUCUCUCCUCCUAUAUUCACUCUUCCUGUCAAACAAAUAUCUUUAAACUUUUAUGGUCAUGAAAACCUCAACUCUGACCCGUACAAGUAAUGCCUCCAUAACUCAGAACAAACACCACAGCUGCCAACUCUAAAUCGUGCGUCGGGUAGUUCCUCUCAUGACCCUUCAGUUGUCUCGAAGCAUAAGCUACAACCUGCUAUUCUGCAUCAAACCACCACCAAACCAACAAUGAAGUCAUCACAGUAAACUCAAAUGGUUCCGACGGACUUGGUAAUAUCAGAACAGGAGCAGUAGUUCACUUCUCUUUUAACUCUUGGAACCUUCUUCCACAUUUUGAGUCACAACAAAAGCUUGCCCUUUCUAGUCAACAUCGUCACGGUAACUCCAACUGUGAAAAUCCCUCAAUGAAUUUCCUAUAAUAACCUGCAAGUCAAGGAAACUCUCUUAUCUCAGAAACUGACUUCGGAGCUUCCCACCUUGAUACCGCUUCUAUCUUAGAAGGAUACAGCAACACCACCUCUUGAAACCACAUGACCACAGAAGCUACUCUUCUAACCAAAUUACCCUUGGACAGUUUAGCAAUAACUUCUUUUUCUCGGCAAGAACUCUAGACCCAUCUACAGAUGUUCAGCAUUGUCUUUCUUAGUUUUGAAUACACACAAACAUAUCGCGUCAAUAAACACCAACAAUAACUUUGUCUAGGUCGGAUGGAAAAAUUCUUUCAUAUACUCCAUAAAUACUCCAGGCGAUUAGUCCACCAAAAGGCAUCACAGAGAAUACUCAUAAUGUCAUACUUGUUUACUGAAGGCAGUUCUGAUAUCCUCAGAGUUUUACAACGUCAUCUGAUGAUAUCACCGAUUCUCAAAUCUAUCUUACUGACACGCUCAGCACCAACAACUGAUUCCUCUAAUUCAUCAAUCCUCGGCAAAGGAUCCGAUCCUUGAAUCGUCACUUUAUUCAGUUGCCGUGUAGUCCACACAACUCAUAGUAACUUUCUUUCUUCUUUAACCAAUAACACUGGUGCACCCCACGGUGACACACUCGGACGAAUAAUUUUCUUAUCAACAGAUUUCAGCUGACUCUUCAAUUCAAGUUAACUCAACCAGGAGACAUACGGUACGGACCAUCGAUAUCGGCCUAGUACAGGUACCAAAUCAAUCGAGAACUCAACUUCACGCUCUGGCGUAAUUCAUUCACUUUCUCACGGAAAACAUCAGGGACAAUCACACACCACGGUUAGAUCGUAAAUCACCAGUUUAUCUUUAGCCUCCAAGUCGCUACACAACACUAAAAAUCUGCCAUCUGCUACUGCCUCAUUCACCUGCUUGCUGAUAGAAAAAAACUCUUUCCUUCCUCAAUCUCAGGAAAGAUCACAGUCUUAUCGAACAGUUGAUAUAAACUCGGUUAGACACUAACCAGUUCAUCACCAGGUAACAUCAAUCUGCACUAGUGGAGCAGACACUAGGUCCAUCCAAAGUCUCUACCAAAAUACUCAAAGGACAAUUUAACAAACUGAAGUGUAGUCACUGAACCCUUCGCAGGAGUAUCAAUCACCAUACUUCCAUGCAUCUCAGAUAUCUCUAAUUCAAGUUUCACAGCACAAUCCAAAGAUAUAAAGAAUGAGUCGCCCUGUUCAAUAAUAGCCUACUAGAGGAAAGCCAUUAAUAUAACACGUACCUCGGAUCAAACGAUCAUCUGCAGAGUCUCAGAACCCGAUAACGCAAAACUUGCCUCCCGACUGGUUCUCUUUCUUUGCUUAGGCACACUGUGGACUGAUAUGACCCACCUCUCCACAGUUGACACAAGUCACAGUCUUCAACGGCACUCUGCAGCCAAGUGACCACCUUUUCCACACUUGAAACAUUUCUUCUCAUUAUUGGUACACUCAUGGAUACGAUGUCCGCCUGACCACAUCUUGAAACCACUUAGCGGGGCACUGGAGUCUCCCGCCACUAGGCCUCUUCAUCCACUCUGUUCUGGAAACCUUUGCCAGCAUGCAUACGGUUUCCCACGAUCAUUCUGAUUCUUGCCUUUCCUCAUCAACCCUUUGUUGAUAGCUCUCCGCUCUGGCCUUGUAUCGGCUGUUCAAAAAUCCUGCAAACGUCCACCAAGUCAAGAAACACUCUAAUCCGCUGAUACCCAAUAGCUGCUUGAUCUCGGGACGUAACCCGUUCUCAAACUUCACACACUUUGAAAUUCCCCAGUAGCCUCAUCAUAGGGAGUGUAUACUUCGACAGCUCUGUGAACUUAGCAGCAUACUCAAGUAACAGACCGGUUGCCCUGCUUCAAUUCCAAGAACUCUAUCUCUUUCUUUCCUCUGACAUCCUCUGGAAAAUACUUCCUCAGAAUCUCUCUCUGAACACAGCCAAGUUGAUCUCAGCAGCACUUCCAGCAGCUUCCACUCAGUGCGGGUAGCAACCCACCAAUCAUCUGCUUCCUCUGACAGCAUAUGCAUAACCGAACCUGACCUUCUGGUUAUCGGCCACACUCAGUCACCGGAGACUUCUCGAUCUCUUCAACCACUUCUGAGACCAUCUGGAUCGUAUGCUCCCUUGAACAUUGGAGGAUUGUUCCUCUGGAACUCACUCAGUUGACGAGCAGCUCCCAGUCCCACAACAUUCGGAUCUCCCUCCAAGUACUCCGCUAGCAUACCCAGAGCCUCAAAUCGCAACAUCGUCUCUACCUCUUCCAGCCAUCUCUAUUCUGAAAACCAACAAGCUAAACAAUAAGUACUGAUCGGUUACACAACACCUAUCCCGUACGGGAACAGAAUAAUUACGACUCGACUCGGACCGACUAUGCUCUGAUACCACUAAUGUAACACCCUUCUAAAAAUUACCCCAAAUAUUUAAUUAAAACAACAAAAUAUAUCAGAAGUAAUUAUGCAGUUAAGGGUUGCACACAACAUUCUUCACGCAUUUAUCAAAAAGCUUGUCAUACUCAUUUAUUUAUCAAUUAAAACAUUUGCAUAAUACGCAGCGGAUGAGAUCAAAUCGAUCAUUCAAAAACAUGUAACUCAUACAUGUAAGAUCCAUUCAACAACCAACAAUGAAAAUAGACAAAACAUCCCGUCCCGAUGUUACAUCUAUCAGAGAUCGAGACUCGACUACCCACGUUAAUGUGAACAUUACACUAGACUCAAACAUCAGCUUCUACUCAAAUCACUGCUCGUUACCUGAAAAAUAGUUGUAAGGUGAGUUCUCAAUCGAUAUAAUAAGCAUUAUAAACAUCAUGUAAUGCUAAGUAAUUUACACACUAUCAUCACCCGUAAUCAGAUCACAUAUUCAGCCAAACGACAAUCAUCAACUCAUAAUUAUAAUAAUACUCAACACAACCAACAAAUAACGUAUAAUAUUGGAAUACAUCCAUUCAUUAUUAUACGCCAUACAUACUACAUUAUGCAAUGAGACUCAUGCAUGCGGUACCGACUAUUUGUGAACAUUAUAGUUCAACCUCACGAUUCAAAUCCAGAUACGGCUACCAAGCUCACUAGUCCCACUCAUUUGAGACCUAGUGACUCACUCAUAAUUCCUCACCAUGGAAUUUAGCUACCACCCCAAGGGCUAUGAUAUGCACGCUAAUCACGCUAGCAUGCAAACAUCAAACAAAUCCACAACAACUCACUAUUCCUCACCAUGGGAAUUAGCUACACCAUAAAGGCCACAAUAUACAUGCUAAAUCACCUAGCAUGCAAACAUCAACAACAAUUCAAAAUAGACAUAUGCUCACAGCUCUAAGCCAUAAACAGUCCAUUUACAAUUGCAUACAUAACAGAUACAUUCACAGCAUUUGCAUACAAUCAUACAUCAUCAGCAUGUUUAUCACAUAAUCAUAUCAUGUCAUACCACACAAUCAAUCACAGUAUUAGCACACUCUACUAACACCUAUACUGCUCAAACAACGGGAAAUGAUCCCUACCAUAUCAUACAUCAGCUAAACUACAUUCACUCAUCUGAAAGACCAAAACUGCACAAAACAGCUCAGGAACCAAAAUUCUGGCCCAUACGCGUAUGCCCAUGUCCAUACGCGUAUAGCCCAUUUUCUGGCCAAGCCAUUACGCGUAUUGCCCAUCUCAUACGCGUAUGCUACGCGUACUACUUCCUCAUACGCGUACCAACAGAGACAAUUUACGUUAAAAACAUCAUCUUCUUCAUCCAUACGCGUAUGGUCUCACCCAUACGCGUACACCCCACAGAAUACGCGUAAUGACGGCGUUAUGGCGGUAUCAAGCAAAUCCCCUCCUUCCAAGCCAUCUCAUACGCGUAUUGCUAGUGCCAUACGCGUCAUGACGCAGACCAAAAUUUCAGAUCUGCAAUGGGUUUCUCUGCUACGAGAUUCAUCAGAUCCAACCUCCCACAGUCCAAUUUUACACAGUAUUCGUUUCAUAUCAUCUAACACGAAUCAUACCCUAUCCAAUUUCACAAAUUCUAACAUUCAUUCAUUCUAAUCAGGACAAUUCAAUGGCUUAUCACUACCAUUACAUGUUAACCAUAAUACCCAUUAAACGACGAUUAAACCAUUACCUGAGUUAAUCCGCAAUCCCUUCAGCUUCAAGCUCUUCUCUUUCAACCCUUGUUUCUGGCUCUUUUUCCAUUUUUCAGUCGCUUCUGUUUUCACGUGAAAACCUCUUUUUACCAAUGGGAUAAUUUCCUAAAAUUCCAACUUUUAUAUUCCAAAUAAUAAUAAUUCCAAAUAAUAAUAAUCCAAUUAUUUAAUUAAAUUAAUAAAUAUAUUAUUAACUUAUUUUAAAUAAUUAUCUUAUUUUUAUCGGGGUGUUACACCUUUGAGGUUGUGCAACGGGUUUGAAAUUUUCUUCCAUCAUGAUCUUAUGCAUACAAUAGGCCGGACUAAUACCCUUCAAGUCGGAUAAUACCCAUCCUAUUGCACCUUCAUUCUUUUUCAGCACUUGUAUCAAUUUAUGCUCCUCUUUUGUGGACAAGGUAUUGCUAAUGAUCACCGAUUUAGUACAAUCAUCACCAACGAACACAUACUUCAAGUGUGAAGGUAGCAUUUUCAACUCUAGUUUUGGCUCUUCCACUUUCUUUUUCACAUCCAAGUCUUCAUUUGUCUCUUCAUGAUAAGUAAUCUCUCCACAAGACUCCAAUUCAUGCAAAAUUGCUUCAAUCUCUUUUUCUUCAUUUUCGGUCAAAACAUUGUAAGCUCCAAUAAGAGAUCUUUCUAACGGAUUAGAAACAUGAACUUGGUUUGCAAAAAUUGCUUCAAUCUCUUUUUCUUCAUUUUCGGUCAAAACAUUGUAAGCUCCAAUAAGAGAUCUUUCUAACGGAUUAGAAACAUGAACUUGGUUUGCAACUUCCACUAUUUCCUCCUCGGUGGCAUCAAUUCGGAAAGAAUCAUGCUUGUCAUUAGGAUGCUUCAUGGCUUCAAAAAGAUUGAAAGUUACCUCUUCAUCUUGCACUCUUACUUUCAUGAGUCCAUCAUCAUUCGGGCUGUUUUCAUGAAUGGUCUUCCAAGAAUUAUAGGAACAUCACGAUCCUCAUCCAUGUCCACUAUCAUAAAAUCUACCGGAAACAAGAAUUUGUCCACCUUCACUAGCAUAUCUUGAGCAACCCCAUUAGGUGAAGUGGUAGACUUAUCGGCUAGUUGUAAAGUCAUCCUUGUAGAUUUAAUCUCAACAUUCCCCAAUCUUUUAACAAUGGAUAAGGGGAUUAAAUUGAUGCUAGAUCCCAAGUCGACCAAACCAUUACCAAUGUAAGUGCCUCCAAUGGUUACCGAUAAAACAACUCGGCCCGGAUCGGAUUCCUUCCUUGGGAGAGUUUUUUGGAUUAUGGCGCUACAACGUGCAUCAAGCAAGAUUGUCUCGUCUUCCACAUAUCUCCUUUUCUUUGUGAGAAUAUCCUUCACUUCCUUGGGAGAGUUUUUUGGAUUAUGGCGCUACAACGUGCAUCAAGCAAGAUUGUCUCGUCUUCCACAUAUCUCCUUUUCUUUGUGAGAAUAUCCUUCAUGAACUUUGCAUACCGUGGCAUUUUCAUUAAUGCGUCGGCAAAUGGAAUAUUUAUUUGAAGUUGUUUGAAUAUGUCCAUAAACCGUGGAUAGUGUCUAGCAUUAUCCUUCUUUGAUGGUGCGUGCGGAUAAGGUAGAUGUUGAGCUGGGAUGGCACUCACUCCUUUGUCUCCUUUCUUCUUCUUUCGUGGCUCGACUUCUUUCUUCGUUUCCACUUCACCCUGCUGCUCUGCUAACUCUUGCUGUUUCUGCUCUUUUCGCGGCGCGAAGGGUGAUCGUGGCACGAACUGAACAUAUUCUAUCUCUUUCUCCUUUUCACACUCCACAACCUCAUUUUCAUGUACAACAUCCAUAUCAUUCUCUACUGUAAUCUCCUCAAUUUUUCCACUUGUCAACUCUUUACCGCUUCUCGUAACAAUUGCUUUACAAUGCUCAUUUGGAUUGGUUUGAGUGUUAGCGGAGAAUGAAGAACCCGCGUGUUAUUCUGAUAAUUGCUUCGCAAGUUGGCCUACUUGAUUCUCCAAGUUCUUGAUUGCUGCCUCAUUACUCUUUUGGUUAGCCAUGGAGGCUUGCAUGAAUUGUUGGAGAGUGUCCUCUAUCUUUGAAUUUCCUCCUUGCGAUUGUUGUCCUUGGGAAUUUGGGUGUUGAUAAGGACUUUGUUGCUGAAAAUUUUGGUUGUUGAACCUUGAUGGUUGAUAACCUUGAUUGUUCCUUUGAUAUGAGUUGUUGUGGGGUGGAGGUUGCCUUUAAUAGCCUUGAUUUUGGUUGUUCACAUAACUCACUUCUUCCAAUGGAGGACAAAAACCGGUUGGAUGAUCUCCUUGACAUAGUUCACAAUAUGCUACUUGAUGUCUAGCUUAAGAUCCUUGAAUUUCCUUCAUUUGUUGUGGAAGUUUGGACAUUUGUUGAGUGAGCAACUCCACUUGUUGAGAAAGUAGCUUGUUUUGAUCAAGAAUAGCAUCAUUGGUAUUUAAUUCAAGAACUCCCAGUUUCCGUUGUGAAGGACUACAGUCAUGUUGACUUUGACGAUCAUUGAGUGCCAUCCGGUCAAUAAUGACUUUUGCCUCUUCCGCAUUCUUUGACAUAAGAGAGCCACCCGCGGUAGCAUCCAAAAGUGUCUUGUGAGUUGAUUGGAGCCCAUUUAUAAAAAUAUGGAUUUGAGUGAGCUCAUCAAAACCAUGGCCUUUGCAUUUUCUCAACAUUGACUUGAAUCUUUCCCAAGCCUCAUUUAGGGACUCGUUGCUUCCUUGAGUGAAUACCGCAAUAGCCGUUUUAGCUUCCAUGAAUCGGGAUUGAGGAAAAUAUCUUUCUAUAAACUUUUCUUCUAACAAAUUCCAAUCCGUCAUCACUCUUGGUGCUUGAUCAAGAUACCACUCUUUUGCCUUUCCCACUAAGGAAUGUGGGAACAUCCUCUUGAAUAAUGCUUCUUCACCCGCUUCCUCUAUUCCCAUAGAACCUGCAAUCUCAUAGAAUUUGAUGAGAUGGGUAUACGGAUCUUCAUGGUCCAUUUCGGUGAAUGGAUUUGCAUAAAGGAGUUGGAGGAUUCCGGUCUUCAUCUCCGUAUUCCUUCCACCGCGAGCAAAUUGGGCAUUCCUUCUUGGACUAUUAGCGGACAUUUCGGUAGGAGUUUCAUCCACCAUGUUUCCUUGACAAGUCUCUACAACCACUUCUUCGAUUUGAACAAGUGAAGAAGUAGAUACUUCCUCUCUCCGGUUCCUCUCUUCGGCUAGUUUCCUUCUUCUUCGUGUUUUGCUAUUGAGCUUUCGAAGUGUUCUUUCAAUUUCGGGAUCGAAUUGAAAUUGCUCCUCGGUAGCUUUUCCUCGCAUGCAUUAGAAUCUACAAAACUAACAAACCAAGUGAAACACAAGAGUGAUAGUAAGUAAAAAACUUAGAACAAUGAAUUAUUGCAAUGCUUGUAAUAUCGAACACCAAUCCCCAGCAACAACGCCAAUUUGUUGAAAAGUAUAUUUUCGGCAAAUAUUUUAAUAUCGUAUCCACAAAGAUUGGUUGUUAUUACCGCCGUUCUAUAAUCCAAAUUGUUAUAAGUUUAAAAUGUAACCAAGUUGUUUUGUUUGAAAAGUUAUCUUUUGAGUAAAAUGUCACUAAAACAAUAAAAUAGUUUUAAUCAAAUAUAAAAGGCUUGGCAAGAUUGGAGUUCACUAUCCUAUUUUCUUAUGUUUCCUUAAUGAUACCUAUAUGGACUUAAGAUUAUUGAUGAUGUUCAAGUAUCCUCUCAAUAUCAUUUAUUUCUAAAUAAUAUUGUGAUAAUUACUAUAUUAAUCUUUAGACGAUUUCUCCACCUAAAUAUCAAUAUAGAAAUCUUUAAUGUUUGAUACAAAAGAAGAGUAGUGUAUAAAUCUAUUUCUACAACUCAUUCACUACUUGAAAGCAUAUUUUAAGUCAAGAUUUGAAUAAUCUUUCUCAACAACUACUCAAAUCUAAAUAUUCAAAAUAGGGCAAAAAUAUCAUUCAAUACAUCAAUAACCUUUUAUCAUAUACAAGAGUCAAAUGGAAUACAUAAACAAAUAGGAAUAACUACUAGCUCCAAUCUUGACAAAAUGGGGUUUAGCUCCUCAUCAUCAUUUUGGACAGCAAAAUGCAAUAGCAAACUAAAACUAUUUUUUUCUUCUACAAUGUGUGUCUCUCUAUUUUUUCCAUUCUGUUUUCUUAAAGAGCUCAACCUUUCCUAAAAUGUUCAUUUUCAUCUAAGACCGAAAAGCACUCUAAAAAUGAUACAAAACUGUCACACUAAAGUUUGGUUGAAAACAGAACACUUGGCCCAAACAAAAUGCUUGCUGGUUUCGCAAGGUUUGCGGCGCCAUCCCUGGUCGCGGCGCGAACUGAACCAAUUUCAGCUUCCUUGCCUUGCAAGCUUCAUUCAACAAUUCUCCCAAGUGUUAUUUUUCCAAAUUAUGCUUCCAUUCCAAUGCUCUUUUGUCCAAAGACUCCACAAAACUAACAAAUACGUGAAAUAUCUACUUAAAACAUAAUCACUUAAACUUAAUUUCAUUUAUACAAAAGUGUGUAAUUCAAUCAGAAAGUGGUAAAAGCGACCAAUAAAAUUAUAUGAAAAGUAGUACUAAUUGGUCCCUAACAAAUUCGUGGCCUGAAGUGCUUCAAUUCAAAGGUAUACAUUCAAACUUUUUGGAUCUAGAACUUUCAAUUCAAUGUAGCAUUCUUGUGUUUGUGUGGUUUUCUGAAGUCCUCACACUUGAGGCAAGCCAUUGGUGCCUUUAAUUCAUCAUUUCAUGAGCUUACAGUUUGAACACCAUGAUCUUCUUCCUCACGUUUCUCUCAAUAUAGGAAGAGUUAGGAAGAUCCAAUGGUACAAAGAUGAUCUCCAUCACACGAACUUCAUUUCCAUGUCCGUGUUUUCCAUUUUUAUUAAACUUUUUUUCUCUGCAACUAGUGGCCGAAAGUGGCUGUCUCGCCGGAGAAGAUGGUGGUUUCCACCACCAUCACCACGUGUGCACCUUCACAGCCUUUGGAUCUUAUACUCAGGAUCUAAUCGUGUGCAUACAUUAUGUUUACUUAUUUAAAUACAAGUUGUGGCGCAUUUGACUUGGAUGCAUGUUGCGCCCUCAUAUCUGGACCAUUGACUGAUGCCACAUCAAUUAAUGAGUUCCAUCACGCGGUUGUGGUUUUUUCCAUUUAUUCUAUUUUCUUUUAUUUUCAGUUAAUUCAUUUGAUUUUCCAAAAUUCAUUUGAAGUCAUAAAAAUAUGAGACCAACUCCAAAAAAAUUCUUGAAAAAUCUAGUUUCAUAUUUUGAUUUUUAAUUAUUUUUGUGACUUCAUUUGAUAUUUUUCAUGGAUUAUUUGAUUUUUAAUAGUUUUAAUUAACUCCAAAAAAAUUCUUGAAAAAUCUAGUUUCAUAUUUUGAUUUUUAAUUAUUUUUGUGACUUCAUUUGAUAUUUUUCAUGGAUUAUUUGAUUUUUAAUAGUUUUAAUUCAUUUUAAAAUACUUUCUAACUUUUGAAAAAUCCAAAAAUGUUUUCAUAGCAUCUACGGAUCAUGAUAAGUCAAUGAAAAAUAGUCUCACCAAUUUCUUAUUUGAUUUGAGAUUUAUUUGAGAUUUUAAUUCAUAUUGUGCUAUUUUUAAUUAUUUUUAAUUGCUUUCUGAUUUCAAAAUUUGAUGAGAAAAUUAGUCAAAGCUUGUUUGACUAUGUUGAACCUAUGAGAAUUUAAUUGGAUUUUUGAAGUUGAUUUGAAUUGAAUUUGAGGUUUGACCUUAUUUGUUCAUUUUUUAUUUGCAUUUUAUUUUAAUUCAAAAAAUACCAAAAAAAAUACCAUUGACUCUUUGACUUGUUAUCUUCAUUUCUCUUCUGUUUGGUGUUGGUUGAUGUUGAUUUGAUCAAUUGGUUUUGAUUAUGGUCAUUCUUUUUCCCUCCCUUUCAUCUUCAUCCCUUUCUUUCCUUUAAUGGCUAAUGAGUUAAAGUCUUAUGGUUGGUCUUGACAAAUGAGAGGUUUAACCUUCUUUGAUCCAAACCAAACUCAACUUGAUCCAUGAUCAAGUGAGUUGUUUUGUGUCCAAGAUAGGUUGCUUUUUGGUCAAGCAAAUAACCUAAAGUCAAUACAAGGCCCUUCCCCUUUUGUUUUGGCAUGGCAAGUUUAUGGAGCUUGGCUUACUAGUCAUGAUCUCUAACUUGUGUUCUUUGCCUAUAUUUUUAUUGACCAGCCUCAGAUAGGUGUGACUACUACAUUAGUCCACUUAUGAUUUCUUAACAUAGCGCUACAUUGUCUUAUGACAAGCUAACAUAACCUUACUAACUACUAACUUUAAUUUGAACAUUUAAUUUCUUGUCAUUUACUUUUAAUGUCAUUUAUUUCUUGCUCAUUAUUCAUAUUGAUCUUCACUUUGCUCACUUGAGCACAUAUUUUAUGUUUAUGUCAUUUUUCUUUUGCUCAUUUGAGCCCAUUAUUGUAUAUACAUAUAUUGCUAUCUUGUGUUUGUUUUGUGUGAACCAAAUGCAAAAAGGAGAAAAGACUUAGAAUUAGGACUUACCUAUGCUUAAAGGAGUUCAAGAGCAAAUAUGCCUCAUGCCUUUAGAAUGCAAGACUUGUUAAAGGAGUUCCUUUUCUUGAAGUCAUAGAGUACUAAGGAUGUUUUGG
rnacentral:lncRNA from 1 species